GACAAGGAGGGACUUUAAAUCCCCAAAGCAACCACUUCACAAGUAAAAUAUUUAAGGGGUCCCAUAUAUAUGUACAAAUAUAUAUAACAUAUAUAUAUACAGAAUUAUUGUCGAGGCUAACGGGGUCCCUUGACCCCUCAACCUACAACGUAGGUCCGCCUCUGGUUGUAUGACUGUCAAAGUGCCACCUCCUCCACAAUUAAUACCGAAAAUACCAGCUAAUAUUUAAUUUGGACUAAGUCCUCGAUUAGUUAAUCGCUUAUAAAUAGAGCAAUACUAGGGUAACAUUCACAGAACGUAAUUGUAUCAAGCAUCACCCACUUUCUCAAUCAACAUCAUUUUCAUACUACAUUUGAUCCUCUUCACAAACUGUGCCACCCAAACUCAUGGCGGAGGAGAAGCAUCACCACCACCUCUUCCACCACAAGGACAAGGAGGAAGAAGGCGGCCCCGUCGAUUACGAAAAGGAAAUGAAACACCAUAAGCAUCUUGAGGAAAUUGGUGAACUUGGCACUGCUGCUGCUGGUGUCUACGCAUUGGUAAAUAUAAUGUUUUUAUAUACUUGAGAGACAGUUUUCAUAAAAUUAUUUUAUUCUAUUUAAAUUGUAUCUGAUCAUGGAAGAUUAUUUUUCUCUGAAGUUUUUUCUGUCGUGAACGUGUUAGAUUGGUCAUCAUCAUGUGCUUAUGAUCUAAAGAACAAGAAUUAUCGAUAAUAUACGUCGUCUAACAAAUGUUCGCUGCUUUCAUUCCCAAAUUAUUGUCACAAUAUUGUUGGAUUGCCAGAAAAAAAGGGUUUUUACUUGCCAAUUAUUAUUUACUCUAGUGCAAAAGAAAAACACAAUUCGCAGAUAGAAUAUAUUUUUCUUCUUCUUUGUGUUGUAUUUAAUUUGUUGAUACGUAAGAGAGGAGUGUGAAAAAGCGAAGAAAAACAUAAAAGGAUCAUUUUGUAGAAGACUAGGACAACUUACACGUUCUAGCCAGAGACGGACCUAGGAUUUGAAAGUGACGGGAAGCACAAGAGUCGAAUGUUCAACUAGUGCCCCAUCAGACUUUUGAUCUUAAUAAUUUCAAGCAAAAUAUAUGACCAUUUUCAACACACAUAUAUAUAUAUAUAUAUCCAAAAAGUUUAAUUUGCUGAUGUUAACGGCGUCCAGUGACCCCAUCACUCAAUACAUAGGUUCGUCUUUGGUUCUGGCACUGGCAAUUAUACAAUACAAAUUAAGUUAAUUUACAACAAUAGGUAGAUCUCAUAUCAAGUUUGAUAUAGUAACAUGUAUAUUAAAUUAGAGUAAUAACGUUGCACUAAUAGUAUUUUUUUACGUAGUGUAUAUAACUUAAAAUUCGUUGUAAAAGGAUAAUUUUUCAAAGGAAUUAAAGUUUCUACCUUUUAUAAUUACAAAAUAAAAUGUAGUUAAAUGCUGAUAUUAGUUAGCUCAUAGUAGUAGUUUAAAGCGUCAACUCCCACCAUCACGUAUGUCACUCUACAUAUAUUAUACUAACUAAUUUUUGAAAUUUGUCCACGCCAAUAUUAACUUUUCUUUGUAAUUUUCCUAUUGUUUUGGUGAUAAACAUUAAUAUAGCAUGAGAAACAUGAAGCAAAGAAAGAUCCAGAGCAUGCACACAAACACAAGAUAGAGGAAGAGAUAGCAGCAGCUGCUGCAGUUGGAGCUGGUGGAUAUGCAUUCCAUGAGCACCUUGACAAGAAGGAUGCUAAGAAAGAAGAAAAAGAAGCUGAGGGAGGAAAGCACCACCACCACCACCAUUUCUAAAUUACAUUGGUUUUGGACCUUUAAAUCUGCUGUGAAUUCAUUUCCCUUUCCUUAUAAUUGUGUUUUUCUACUGUAAUGUUCUCUAGUAGAUAUAUGCUUCCAUAAAUAAUCAUAUGUGUUUUUUUACUUUCCUAGCAAUUCUCUGUUGAACUACGUACCUUGUAUAUAGUUGCUUUUCUGAAUGGCGUAAUAAAUGGGUAUACCGUGCCUAUGAGCAUUUGUUUAUCGUUUAACUAGUUAGUACAAUAAUUUAUAACUUAUCACUUAUACUAAUAACGUAAAGAAUUUUUUUUAUAGACUUAUGUAACUAUUAAUUGGUCUAAUUUAAUUUGUUGCAGUACGUAGGUUCCGUUUUUCAGGGAACUAGAGCUAGUUUGACUUACUAUGAGCAGUUAUUCAUAAGUGAGAUGAUAGUGUAAUUUUCUUUUUACAAAUACAAAAGUUAAACUCACUAAUACAACUAUCAAUCUUUUGGUUUCUUUGUCAAAACGGAAAUGAAUUUCUAAUGUAAAGUUCGUUUCAUCAACUCUUUUCAAUCUGACAUCGGGAAUUAUAACUAGUUAUUUCAAUCCAAAUGUUCAUAAAAUCCUAAAUGCAUAGGUUACUUGAAACUCGGAAAUGUCUCAACUAAACUAACAGCAUUUCAAAAAGACAAACAGAUAGUCAUUCAAUAGCUAAAACUUCUAACUAAUUACUCCCUUUGUUCACUUUUACUUAUCCAUUAUUAACUGUGCACAUCCCCUAAAAAAUUAAAUAAUGUACAUAAUUACCAUGAUACACAUAUUAAUUGGUAUAUAAUCUUAAUAGAUUUGAAAAUGAUUUGGAAUGAGUAAUUAAUGUUAAGGACAAAACAGAAAAAAUAAAUUAUUUUUCUCUUGAUAGGCGAAAAGUGGCAAGUAAAAAUAAAAAUUUAUUUUUAGAAUAUUUGACAACUAAAAAUGAACAGAGGAAGUAUAUGUAUGCCGUCAGGAUGAAUGUCUGUUACAUAGGAAACUCGAGAAACUCGGAAACACCUGCUUCAGCUCAACUAAGAAUAAAUUAUUCGAAAGCAUAAUACAAUAGCUAAUUACUGAUAUUUGGCUUAAAGUGUGUAUAUUUAUAUACAUAUUGUCUCACAUUUUACUCAUAUUUCGUGGAUUUUUGAAUGUGCAAUGUAAUGAUUUUAAUUCGUGGUAUUUUUACGUGUAGGAGGCACUUGAGACAAUGUGGAACGAAAGUGCAUGAAUCGAAGCAAAAAGAGAACAAAAGACGAAAUUCGAACAGUGUAGCGCCCAGGGUAACGUGGGGCGCUACCUGGGGUGCAACUUCUAUGUGCGGCGCCCACGCUACUCUGAGCGUUGGGUGACAAGUUUCACUCCUAUUUCAUCUGGGACAAGGUUAUUCCGACCCUACACGCCCCCAACUCGUAUAGAAAGAAGUCUAAAGCUAAUUUGGAGGAUAUCUAACAUAUUUUUGGGAAGAGAACACGCCACUUUGGAGGGGAGAAUCCAAACCACGCUUGGGAGGAGGCUUCUAACUAGUUUUUCUUCUCUUCUCUUCCUUUAAUUCCAUAGUUUAUUAGUUCUAGAGUUGUGGGUGCUACAUGAACAUUGUAGUUUGAAGCUUGAAUUGUUCUUACUAUUUUAUAAUAUUGGUUUAUUUAUUCAGUUUUGCACUUAAUUAUUUAAUUUCUUGAUCAUCAAUUGAAUACUAUCUACGAAUCUAGGAUUGAACUCGAGGGAGGGAAUUCUAGAUUGCAUAGAAGAUUGAGUAGAGCGAGAUAUUGAACCUGAGUAUCGGGAAUGGAUUUACGGUUAGGACAAGAAUAUACCAAAUUGCCUUUCUUGGUUAUUAUACAGGAAUUAUAAAUGCAUUCUUGUUAAUCCUAAUUCCAUAGGAUUAUACGCAUUAGGUUAGCUUGAAUAGGUGAGUAGUACUUUGGAAGAAAACUACGAGUAACAUUAAUCAUGUCAAUCAAUAAACCAGAUAAAUUAAUUAGAUAAUUAGAGUGGAAGACUCAACGGGAUUGUUAGCUAACCCAUAACUCUAGAAUAUCGGCUCCCAUUGAAUUCAUGUCUAAUUUUGCCAAUUUAUUUCCUUUAAACUCUUAAUUUACUACUCUAAAUUAGUUCUAAUUAAAUAAUCACACUUUAGGAAUCAUUUGAAUAGAUCAAUUACCUUAGUUUAAUUUAGUAAAUAGUUAAUCAUAAGUCAUUGUGGGUAUUUGAACUUAUAAUCCUAUAUUACUUGUCGACCACGUAUACUUGCGUGUGCGUUUGGGAUCAACAAGUAUUAUUUGGCGCCGUUGGCCAGAACUUGAAUGUUGACUACUUUACUACCUUUUACUUUAGUUGUUUAUUUCGUCAUGUCUAACGUUUCUUAUUGGUUGGUCUGAUCUUAAGAACUUUGAUUGAAUGCGAAGGGUCAAGAGCCAGGAUAGACUUCAAGUCUUUGACCCCAAACCUGAGAGAAUAUUUCAUAGGAUGUUGAGAGAAACAAGGGAUACAAAUAAUCUUUAGGCACUUAUUCAUUACCUUUGAAUAUGGAAGAAGAGAAACAUAUGGAUGUUCAGGAGUUGGCGAUGCGCAGAAUUGCUAAUGUCACCUCCAGCAUUGUAAAGCCCAUGAUCACUGGACACUUUGAGCUAAAAUAGAGCAUGAUCCAGUUACUACAUGCAAAUGGACAGUUUAUGGGUCGUCCCCUAUGAGAAUCUACAACAACACAUUCUGAACUUCUUGGAGAUUAGUGAUACCUAUAUCACUAACAUAGUCACUCUAUACUAUGUAAGGCUUACACUAUUCCUGUUUUCUCUGUUGGGGCGAAGCAAUGUGGUGGUUGAAGGCGGAAUCGACUAAUUCUAUUACAUCAUGGAAUGAUUUGGCAAAAAAAUAUUUGGCACGAUUCUUCCCUUCUUGCAAAACUGCAAAGAUCAAAAGUAAAAUAGUAGCCUUCAAAUAGAAGUAAGGCAAUCUUUAUAUUCAGCUUGGGAGAGGUUCAAGAGGAUGCUCAGAGAUUGUCCUCAUCACAACAACACAAAUGAAGUGUUGACUCAUACAUUCAUAGAAGGGCUACAUCCAGAUACAAAAAUUGUGGUGGACGUUGCAGCGAGAGGUCAAGUGUUGGAGAAAGGCUUUGAUGAAAUUUAUGCAUUAUUGAACAAAUUCUCCAAAAGUAAUCCUGAUUAGCAAGGAGAGAUGGGCAAACACACAGUUCAAAAAUCUGCUGGGGUCCUCGAGUUAGACACAGUUUCUGCAUUAUCAACACAGGUUGCCAUAUUGUCCUAUCAAGUUAAUAAGAUGACCCUGGUUAUUAAUAAGCAACAAGCCCAUCCAGUGCAGCAAGUUCAAAUAUUUUGUGAAGUAUGUGGAGAGGGACACACGAGUGACUUAUGCCCAACUAAUCUAGAGUUUGUAUGUUUUGUGGGUAAUGCAAAUCGGGGCCAGACAAAUCCGUAUGGAAACGCUUAUAAUCCUAACUAGAGGAACAACCCAAACUUUUCUUGGGGUGGAAAUCAAGGUGCUCAGUAGGGGUGUACAUGGACCGGGUUGGUUCGAUUUUUACCAAAACCAAACCAAACCAACUAUAUCGGUUUGGAUUGGUUCGGUUAUGUCGGGUUUUUCGGGUUUUUUUGUUAUAUGAAUAUUACUUCAAUCUUACUUUGUUAAAUUAUAGAUAAAACUUUAAUAAGUGAAUAUAUGUUUAGUAAAUAUGGAAAAAAUUGACAAACAUAUGAUCUAUUAAAAUAUUCUAAUGGAAGAAUUUUUUUAGUAACACAUGAUAGUUAUUUUCUUAGUCGUCUAACAAUAAUUUUUCGUUAAUUUAUGCUUUCAGGGUUAAUACAUGAGAAGAUCCCAAAUAUUUCUAUAUUUUCUAAAGAAAAUCACUAUAAACUCUUGAAAAUAUAAAUAAAAUUUAUAUAUUUAUAUGUCGGGUUGGUUAGGUUUUUUUAUUUGAUACCAAACCAAGUCAAACCAAACCUAGUCGGGGUUUUUAAUCAGUUUGGUUUGGUUUUUCGGUUUGGUACAGUUUUUCGGUUCGAUUUGAACACCCCUAGUGCUCAGAAUCAGUAUAGGCCACGAUACCCUCGGUAACAAUAUAGACCACCACAGGCUAAACAACCUACAAACUUGAGUCACAUUGAAGAGAUGAUAAAGAAAUUGAUGGCUGACCAGCGGGCCCACUUAGCAGCUAUUUGGAAUUUGGAGCGACAAAUGGGAAAACUUUCUAGUGCCCAAAAUACUCGACUAGUUGAGGCUCUUCCAAGCGACACUGAGGUUAAUCCUAAAGCAUAUAUUAAUGUCACAUUAUUGAGGAAUGGAAGACAAUUAGAAGAAGUCCCAUUAAAAAAGAGAAAGCAAGUGGCUUUUAAUGAAAAAUAGGCCACCAUAGAAGUGGAACAAGAAAUUGCAAGUGAGUCAGAAAAGCCAGUUAAAGAGGAGGUGGCAAAGAAACUCCAAUCACUACUUGUGAGGCCACCACCUCCGUUCCCUAAAAAAUUGUAGAAAGUGAAGGAUAAUGUUGCUUAUAUGAAGUUUCUUGAUAUAUUGAAGUAGGUACAAAUUAAUAUUUCGCUGGUAGACAUCUUGUAGAAAGUCCCAAAUACACAAAACAUAUUAAAUACAUAAUGGCAAAUAAGAGGAGGUUGGCCGAGUUUGAGACUGUGGCACUCACUGAAGAAUGUAGCUCAAUAAUUCAAAGCAAGAUACCUCAAAUAUUGAAGGAUCCAGGUAGUUUCACUAUCCAAAUCUCGAUUGAUAAGCACGCAAUAGGGCGAGCUUUGUGUGAUCUUGGGGCGAGCAUCAACUUGAUAUCGCUAUCUGUUUUCAAGCAGUUGGGAUUGGGUGAGCCGCACACAACUACAGUGAUUUUGUAGUUGGUUGAUCGCUCCCUUACUUAUCUAGAAAGGGUUAUUGAAUAUGUGUUAGUCCAAGUGGGUUCCUUUAUAUUCCCUGCUGAUUUUAUUAUCUUGGACUACGAGCCUGAUGAGGAAGUCCCAUUUAUUUUGAGGCGUCCAUUCUUAGCCACAAGUUAAGAAAUUAUUAAUGUGUGUGAAGGCAACAUGACAAUGCGAGUAGGUGAUCGAGUAGAGAUAUUCAAUGUUUAUGACGCACUUAAAUUCCAUGAUUUCUGUGCUGGAAAGUGAUGUGACUUCAUUGGUGCCUUAUAUGAGCCUUACAGACCCCCUUGAGGCCUUGAACGAGUUUUGAUGGGGGGUGAAGACGAAAGUGAAGAUGAGAUGAUGGAAGAAAUUGAGCAAGUCCUUAACAUGUCUUGCAAGUAUGUCCAUGGGCUUAGGAAAUUUGACAAGUUGGACAUACAUGUUACUCUGACCCCUCACUAUCUUUCGAAGAAGCUCCAAAUCUAGAGCUCAAGCCUCUUCCAGCGCACCUGCACUAUGCCUACUUGGGGAGUUCUAAAACAAUGCUAGUGAUUAUUUCAUCCAGCUAAACCAAUGUGCAAGAAGAAAAGCUGCUAAGAGUGAUUCGUGAGCACAAAAGAGCUAUUAGGUGGACAAUUAUUGAUAUCAAGGGAAUCAGUCCAUUAUUCUGCACGCAUAAAAUAUUUUUAGAAGAUGGACACCGCCCAAGUGUUGAGCAACAAAGGAGGUUGAAUCCUAUUAUGAAGGAGGUUGUGAAGACUGAAGAAAUUAAGUGGCUUGAUGCAGGUAUUAUCUUCCCUAUUUCUGAUAGCAAUUGAGUAAACCCAGUGCAGUGUGUGCCUAAAAAGGGAGGAUUACUGUGGUGGAAAACAAGAAAAAUGAGGUAAUUCCUACUCACACUGUGAUGGGGUGGAGAGUUUGCAUUGACUAUAGAAGGCUCAACAAGAAAAUCCACAAGGACCACUUUUCACUUCCAUUCGUUGACCAAAUGUUGGAUAGAUUAGCUGGGCAUAAAUAUUAUUGCUUCCUUGAUGGUUAUUUGGGGUACACCAGAUUGUCAUAUGCCCAGAGAAUCAGGAGAAAAUGACUUUCAUGUGCCCUUAUGGUACUUUUUCUUUCAAGAGAAUGUCAUUUGAUCUUUAUAAUAAAUCAGCCACUUUCCAGAGAUGCAUGACGGCCAUUUUCAAUCAUAUGGUGGAAAAAUAUGUAGAAUUGUUCCUGGAUAAUUUUUCAGUCUUUGGGUCUUCUUAUGAUGAUUUUUGACAAAUUUGGGCAAGGUGUUGGCACAUUAUGAAGAAAUAAAUUUUGUGCUAAAUUGGGAAAAGUGUCAUUUUAUGGUUCAAGAGAGCAUCGUGUUGGGUCAUAGAGUAUCAAAGAGUGGCAUUGAAGUUGAUAAGGUGAAGGUAGAGGCAGCUGCAAAAUUACCUCUACCCAUCUCUAUGAAGGGCGUUUGGAGUUUCUUAGGACACACAGGUUAUUAUAGACGCUUUAUUAAAAAAAAUUUCUAAAAUUGCUACUCCAUUUUGUAGGUUGCUUGAAAAGGAUGUGAUUUUCAAAUUUGAAGAAGCCUGCUUGAAGGAAUUCGAGGAGCUCAAAGAGAAGUUGGUGGCUUCCCCCAUUAUUAUGGCACCGGAUUGGUCCUUGUCAUUUGAACUCAUGUGCAAUGCAAGUGACCAUGCUAUUGGGGCAGCGUAGAGCCAGAGGAAGGAAAAUAUGUUUUACUCCAUAUUCUAUGCGAGUAAGACUCUUAAUGAUGCACAGUUGAAUUAAACCUCCACCGAGAAAGAGUUGUUGGAAGUUGUGUGGGCCUUUAAGAAAUUUCGGGCUUACUUGAUGGGAAUAAAAGUUAUAGUCCAUAUCACCAUGAAGCAAUCAAGUAUCUAUUUAUGAAAAAAGAAUCUAAGGAUAGAUUGAUGCGUUGGGUUUUAUUUUUACAUGAAUUUGAUGUAGAACUACGAGAUCUGAAAGGCACAUAAAACCAAGUGGUUACCACAUGUCAAGGCUAGAAAAUCAUGAGCACGUGGAGGAAGGUGGACAAAUUAAGGAGACAUUUACUAAUGAGCAACAUUUUUCCAUCACCCAGGAACCUGCCCCAUGGUAUGUGAAUUAUAUUGUGAGUGGGGUACUUCCUCCUGAAAUUUAAUUUGUGCUAGGAAGAGGUUUUUGCAUAAUGUGAACUUUUACUAUUGGGAUGAGCCAUUCUUGUAUAGUAUGCUGAUCAGUUGAUAUGGAGGUGCAUUCCUGAAAAGGAAGUGAAAUUAGUGUUGUAUGACUACCAUGCCUCACCUUAUGUGGGCCAUCUUGGAGGCAAUAGAACAACUGCAAAGGUGUUGCAGUCGGGGUUCUAUUGGCCAACAUUGUUCAAAGAUGCUCAUGCAUUUGUUAAGAAAUGCGACUAGUGUCAAAGGACUGGAAAAAUCAUGAGGAGGCAUGACAUGCCUUUGAAUAAUAUACUGGAGGUAGAGAUUUAUGAUGUGUGGGGCAUAUACUUCAUGGACCAUUCCCUUUAUCUAGAGGAAACAAGUAUAUUUUUCUAGCAAUGGACUAUGUGUCAAAAUGGGUGGAGACUAUCGUAUUGCCAACUAAUGAUGCCAAGGUGGUGGCCACUUUUGUGAAGAAGAACAUAUUCUCGAGAGUUGAGAUUCCACGUGACUUGAUUAGUGAUGAAGGAACACAUUUCUACAACUGGUUAUUGAAUAACCUUCUAGCCAAAUAUAAGGUCCGCCAAAGAGUUGCCACGAUAUAUCAUCCAUAAAUAAGUGGACAACCGAAGUGUCCAUCAGAGAAAUAAUGCAGAUAUAUAGUGAGUGUAAACAAGAAAGAUUGGGAUGCAAAGCUAGAUGAUUCCUUGUGGGCAUAUAGAAUAGCAUACAGAACACAAAUUGUGGCGUCUCCGUACAAGCUUGUGUAUGGGAAGGCAUGUCACUUGCCGGUUGAACUUGAACAUAAGGUGUAUUGGACAGUCAAGAAGUUGAAUAUGGACUUGGAAGCCGUGAGCGAGAAGAGGCUCUUGCAGUUGAAUGAGUUAGAUGAGUUCAGGCCACACUCCUAUGAAAAUGUUAAGCUUUACAAGGAGAAAACCAAAAGAUGGCAUGACUUGCGUAUCAAGUCGUGUCACUUUGAACCGGGCUAAAAGGUACUAUCAUUCAAUUUCAGGCUUAAGCUAUUUCCUAGAAAGUUAAAAUCGAGGUGGUCAGAUCCAUUUGUGGUGGUGAAAGUCACUCCUUAUGGUACAAUUGAGCUGCGUGUUUUAAACAGAGAAAGAAAUUUUUUGAUGAAUGAGCAAAGAGUCAAGUACUAUUGGGGACGUGUCAUUAAUCAUUAUAAGUCCAAAGUAAUACUCGCAGAUGAGUAAGCAAAGCCCUACGUCAUGCCACGACGUUAAAUCAGAUGCUUGUUGGGAGAAACCCAAUGUUUAUUACUUUCGUUGUUUAGUCUUUUCUCUUUUAGUUAAAGUAGAUUAGAGUUUUUCUUGUUUUCUUUGUUGUCAUAGAAAUCAUAGGUAGGAAUGAUGUGGGAUGUGUAUACCGAAUAUACUAAGUGCUCGGGAGAAUCGUGGAUUUCAUUAAAAAAAAUAGAAUUUCGGAAAACCAGCGGCCAGUGCUACCUGGGUCACACAAAACAUUCCACUUUUCCCCUCAAGCGCCAGGCCUAGCGUGACGCGGUUGGCUGGGGGUGGCAAGUAAGUUUUUUAAUUUUUAUUUUAUUUUAUUUAUGUUUCACCUUUUAAUUAACCCAUUACCCCUUGUCCCGACCCGAUUACCCAUUUUAAAUUACAUUAUAAGCCGUAUCCAUGACCCAUCCCCAAAUUAAAUUAAACAACUCUAAUUCCCCUCCCACUAUUUUCUCUCUCCCCGUUCUCUAUCUCUCAACCGAGUCUCUCUCUCUCUCUCUAUCUCCAUGCUUCUCUCUCUUCCUCAAGUUUUUCUUUCUCUCACACACACCACACAAGUAGGUUUCUUCUUCUCUAUCCUUUUUUGGUUUUGUUUUGUUUUGUAGUUGUUAACCCUAAGCCCCCAUCCCAAAUGACCCUCUUCACUACUUUCCCCAAAGUUCUUUAUAAAUUAAGUAUAUAGUGGCUAAUAGUUGGUGUGAAACUAAAAUUGUUCUUGAAAUUGGUUGUGAUUUUAUUCUACAAAGUAGUAAACUACAAUUUCCUCUACUUCGUUCAAAACUUAGGAGGGGUCAUCUCGGCAAGCAAAAGGAAAGUAGGUUACUGAUGGGUCAAGAAGCGCACCAUCGAGACUAUGGCCCCAAUUGGAUCUGGUUCGUGAGGAUGGUAUCCAGUGGUAUCAUAACUUUGAGCCAUAUGGGGGUAUGCCUCUGAAAUGGGGAUCAAUGUGACCACUUUGGAGAAGAAUUUCCCCGAUGUACUAGCCCAGUUAAGAGGUAUGAAGAUGGAUAAGUUCAUUGAGUGCCCAGGACAUACAUGGUAAGGGAGUUGUAUGCGAAUUGGAAUGAGCAUAGGUUCAUGUCAUGGGUCAUAGGGAAGGAAAUGCCAUUGCAAAAGUUUGUAAGGUGCCCAACCUAUACUGUUAUUCGUCAAACUCUAUGUGGCGUAAAUUCUAAUGCAAAAUGGACAAGGACAAUGGAUGAUACACACAAUGAGAUGAUUCGAUUUGAGAUUAACAAAACUGCCAAGGUGUGGCAGAACUUUCUGCAGGCUAGACUGAUGCCAGUGGAGUACAACAGAAAGGGCACUUGAGACAGAAGUGUGUUUGAUCAUUUUUUGAUGACUGAGAGACCCGUCAAUGUUGGUGAGAUUAUGUUGGGGGAGAUGGCUUGCACACGGUUUGGGCGGAAGAUAAAAAGGUUCUUCUUUGAUAAUCUAUUGAUGUAGUACACGCUCUUUUAUGAGGUACUUGAGUACCCUAGUUAUGAUGAGGUGGUUGAGGCUUUGAAGGGAUUGAUGGACAUCACUUAUAUAUUAGAGUCUACUUCCAAGUUGAUCCAGGUUGCACGAAAUGAGCACAUGAAAAUUUCAACAUAUAUCUAUAUGGCUCCCUAAACUUGAUAAUGAGCAAGAUGGGCAUGACAGAUGAGGAGCAUAUGCAUCUAUACAAUAAUCUGUCCAGUGCUUUAAAAGAAAUGUUGGGGAUUGCGCCUGCCAGUCCCAUUCACCCAUUGGACGAUGAAAACACCAACAAGGGCUAUGAUGAUAAAGAUGACCGAGAUGCUGAUGUUUUGGGGCCAGUGGCUUUGGUACCCCUUGGAGCAGAUGAUGAUGAUCCCGGAGCGUCGGUUGGUGGGCAUUCUAAGGAUGAAGGCUUCGAGUAUGACCCUAAUGGGUCCGAGUAGCAGGGAGUUCUUCUCUCUACAUUACUUUUUUUUUUUGAAUUUUUAUAUGCAUCGGGGAGUAUGCAUAAUAUAAGUGUGGGGUGAGGGAACUACUUUCUGAAGUAUACUUAUAUAAAACUAUUUUUAUUAGGUUUUUCCUUUAUAACUCGUAGUAGACAUAGUCUAGUUAGUUAGUAGUAGUCCGGCUUCAAGAAAAAAAUAAAAAAAAAUGGAAACAUAAAAAAAAUAAAAAAAAAAAGCUCGGACUUUUUUCGACAAUGGAUCUCUUGGAUAGCUUUCUUGAGGGAUUAAGGUCCGAUUAAAAAUACCAAAACGAUUUUCUUUUGUUUUUCUUAAAGAUUGUUAGGUAGUAUCCCGUGAUUAUUCUUUGGGCACCAGCUCUUUUUCAAGGGUGUAAUUUGAAUUUUGCUAUGGUUUUAUCUUUUUAGGAGUAAGAUAGGAAGAAAAGUGAGUUUCUCUAGAUACCUAUUGACAUGUUUGGUGUUGUCACAUUAGGCUAUGACAUGCGCUCUAUCUUCCUGUAAUAUUUGAUUUGAAAUGUGAUGCCUAACUAAUAUAAAUAACCUACUAUGUGACGUCUGUUCUUAGUUGUUUGACUUAUAUUUCACCUAGUGCAUUAUUGCUUAAAAUUUCUCAAUUAUAUGUGCUUGCUUGACUUGAGAGUUGAACAAAUCCGUCUUGAUUGAGUGAUGUGCAAAGUGUGUGAGAUGAUUUGGGGUAUUCUGUUCGAUCUUGUGUAGUCUAGAACUUGCCCUGUGUGUUAAUCAAAACGAAAUUAUUAAGUUGUGCUAGUAUAGGAGAUGAUGUAGGCAUUUAUUUGCUGAUCAUAGAUGUGCUUUUCACUUACAAAUAAAAUUUUCCUUUGCUAUCCCUUUGGGCAUAUAUAUCUUUUCUUUGGUACCCACAUUACAAGUUGUAUUCCUAUUUUGUUCUUAACUUGAGCUUGUUGAAUCUUUACCUCCGAAGGCACUGAGGCGCUAAAAUAAGUAAGUGAGAGAUUUGGGAAGUGCUUUCGAGUGGAACCAUGGAAAGGCCCAUAAGGUGCACUAAAGUUGUGAAAAUACCACUAGCCGAUGAAGCUUAAUGUAUGGAGUAUGUUUAAAAAAAAUAGAGAAAAUAAAAUUGCAAGAAAAAAUAUACAAUUAAUAUUGAUAGUCAAAAAAAAAAUACACACCUCUUAAUCUUAUUAAUUUUUGCUAGUGAGGAUGUAGAAGUACUAUAAUUGAAGAAGGGCUAUGUUGUCUAUGGUUUGUGGCGAAAGAAUUGGUUGCGACAAAUAUGUGCUCGAUUCUUGAGUGUAGUGAAUUAAUGUGCUUAGGACGAUUAUUCAUUAUUCCUAAAUAUAUCCUAUCCGUCCCUUAGCUUAAAUUACAACCCAUAAAGUCCUAAUUGAUCCUAGACUUGGCUAGCUUAGAUUAGUAGAAAUGUACACUACGAGCAAGCUUAUUGUACGACUACGGGAUGCACAUGAAAUUCUUUGUGAAAGUGAGCAACUUUUGUUCAAUUGUGUGAUGUUCUUAAAUUAUGUUCAAGGUUAUACUUGAAUGUGCAGACUAUUUCUAUAUUCACUCUCUUAUUUGUUGGUGAGGGCACAUGAUCUCGUGACAGAUUGGUGAUAUUGUAAACUUCUCUUGUUGGAUGAGUGCACGAGUUGAGGGUGCUUUGUGGUAAGGAGUCGGCUAUUGAGGUAGGGUAAUUAUGGAUAGGUUGUUUUAAUUGGUUGAAUAAACUUUCUUAUACAUGGGCAUGUUUAAAAUGGGAAGAAUGUAAAUUUCUUAUGUUCAUGCUUGAUUGCCGUUACCGAUCAUAGUGAAGGAUAGAGUGUAUGACUAAAAAUUGAAUUGCUCCUCCAUGGUUGAUAUGUACAUUGUUGGGGUGUAGUUAAUAGUCUUAUUGCUUGAGGGCGAGCAAGAGUCUAAGUGUGGGGUAUUGAUAUUCGGCUUAAAGUGUGUAUAACUAUAUGUAUAUUGCCUCGCAUUUUACUCAUGUUUCUGUCACGACCCUAAACCGGACUCGGUCGUGAUGGCGCCUCUCGUGAAGACAGGGCCAACCGACUAUUCCCAAUUCACUUGUUAAAGCAAUUAAAUAACAUAAAAGUAGUCUAAAACAUGAUAUAGCAAUACUAAGUAGCAGAUAAUGUCAAUAAAGUGCGAAAGUACAACCCAACACAGCCCUAACUGGGGUGUCACAAGUCACGAGCAUCUAUAAAACCUAAUACAAGUCUGAAAGAUCUACAACUAGUACAAAAGUCUGAUAUGAGAUAGAAAUGACAAAGAGGGAGAAACACGGGUCUGCGGACGUCAAGCAGCUACCUCGUGAACUUUGAAUGUCCACCGGGAGCUCUCAACUCGCACUGGCAGGAUCAGCAACGCCUGAAUCUGCACACAUGGUUGCAGGGAGUAAAGUGAGUACUCCAACUCAGUGAGUAACAAAUGUAAAUAACGACUGAAAGUAAGAAAACACAUAAGGCACAAGGCAUUCUAUAAUGAAGCAGUAAAACUAUUUAAAAGCAGUACAACAGUGGAAAGUCAAGUAAAAUCCUCUUUCAACAAAUAAAUAAGUAAUUGACAGGUAAUUAAUGUAGAGUAAACAAAUAGAAGUUCGCCCCUCGGGCACAGUAUCACUACAUCCGCCCCUCGAGCAACAUUUCAGAACAAUAACAGCCCACCGGGCUCAAUCUCACAUCACAAUGGGUACCCGUGCUCACUGGGGGUGUGCAUAUUCCUGCAGGGGCCCCUUACGGCCCAAACACAAUAUCAAGCCACCUCGUGGCAUCAUAAACAUGCUCUCGGCCUCAUAUCAAUAUCAACAAGCCACCUCAUGACAUACAUAUCUCAGGCCCUCAGCCUUGUAAUCAAAUCAGUGUAUCACUGCUGUGGUGUGCAGCCCGACCCAAAAGUAUCCUCACAACACAGGCCCUCGGCCUUACUCAGUCAAAAUCACAUAAGCCACUCGGGGAAUAGUAAAACAUGAUGCUCAGUCCCAAAUAUGAUUUAAAAUAUCAUUUAAGUCUUAAAACUGAGUAAACAUAGCUGAGUAUGAAAACAUUGGAAAAUAACAUGACUAAGUUCAAGUAUAAAGUCAAAGCAGUGAGGAAAUAGCAAUAAAAAUCCCCAUAGUCAUUCGGGACGGACCAAGUCACAAUCCCAAUAGUGCAUGACCCCACGCUCGNNNNNNNNNNNNNNNNNNNNNNNNNCCCUCAGAAUAUAAUUUAAAAAAUCAUUACUCACCUCGAACCGGCUAAAUCUCUAGCUCGCGACGCCUUUUCCCCUAGAAUCGACCUCCACACACGUCGAAUCUAUCCAAAAUCAGAACGAGUACCGCAACAUAUGCUAAGGGAACAAAGCCCAAGCGAAAACAAUCAACAAAGGGCACAAAUCCCGAAAUUACCAAAAACCGACCCCGGGCCCACAUCUCGAAAAUUAGAAAUUUUUAUAUCAAUAGAUUCCUCAUCUCCCCACGAGUUCAUACAUAUCAAAAGUUCCCAAAUCCGACCUCAAAUGGUCCUUCAAAUCCACAAUUAAAGGCCUAAGUUCUCAAGCCCUAGUUUUUCUCCCGGCCUUUUUUGAAUGCUUGAGCCUUAACCCAUUUGGAAAAUAACCGUUCAUGAAUAGUACGAAUUGAGCUUUAGUGGGUGCCCAUGGCAGGGGAACGACGAUGUCCAUUCUCCACUUCAUAAAUGCCCAGGGAGACAGGACCGAGUAGAGCAUUUCUCCCGGUGGAUAGAUCAUUGGAGCGUGUAUUUGGCACUCGUCGCAUUUUCAUAUGAGUUCCUUUGCAUCCUUGUCCAUUUCGGUCCAGUAGUAGCUGACCCUAAUUAGUUUCUGAACCAAGGAUUCUGCUCCUGAAUGGUUUCCGCACAUGCCUUCGUGAACUUCUCUCAUGGCAUAUUCAGUCUCUCCUAGUCCUAAUCAACUGGCUAGUGGGCCAAAGAAGAUCCUCCUAAACAAUGUCCCUUUGACCAAGCUAAAUACGGCAGCUUUAGCGCGCAGGGCUCUUGAUUCUUUGGGAUCUAAAGGCAAUUUUCUUGUCUUCAAGUAGUUUAUGUAUUUGUUUCUCCAAUCCCAAGUUAAACUUGUUGAGUUCACUUCGACGCAGCCUUCUUCUACCACCGAGUUCAUUAGCUGCACUACUGCUCCCGAAUUGGAUCUAUCGGAAUUGACUAACAACCACAAGUUAGCUAAUGCAUCAGCCUCACUAUUUUGAUCUCGGGGUACAUGUUGCAGGGUCCAUUCCCUGAAUUAGUGUUGGGUUACAUGCAAUUUGUCCAAGUACCUUCACAUCUGUUCUUCUUUUACUUCGAAUGUUUCGUUAACUUGAUUUACCACGAAGAGGGAGUCACACUUGACUUCAAUCACUUUGGCCCAAAAGCUUUUAGCCAAUUCUAGACCUACAAUCAUGGCCUUGUACUUGGUCUUCUUGUUAGUCAACUUCACAGUUCUAAUAGACUGCCUAAUUAUAUUCCCCAUGGGUGGUUUCAAUACAUUUGGACCCCUUCGCAUUGGAGGCACCAUCCGUAAAGAGGGUCCAGAUUCCCGAAGUAGUCCCCGAGAUUAGUAGUAGUUCUCUUUUGACUUCGGGUAUUAAAGUCGGCGUAAAAUCGGCCAUGAAAUGUGCUAAAAUCUGAGAUUUCAUGGUGGUUCAGAGUCGCUACUCGAUAUAAUACCCGCUAAUUUCCACGAUCCAUUUGGACAACUGAACCAAGAGCUCGGGCUUAUGCAUGAUAUUCCUCAGCGAAUUGCUCACGACACAUAUAGGGUGGCAUUGAAAGUACGACUUAAGAUUUCAAGAAAUGCUUAGCAAAGCGAGCGCUAAUUUUUUCAGGUUAGGAUAUCUUGAUUCGGCCUCACCUAGAGUUCUACUAACAUAGUAAAUAGGAAAUUGCAUACCUUCUUCCUCCCAGACUAAGAUGCCACUUACCGCCGCAUCGAAAACUUCCAAGUAGAGGUACAAUUAUUCAUCUGGCUUCGGAGUAUGCAGCAGGGGGGACUCGAUAGGUACCGUUUGAGUUCCUCCAAAGCUUGCUGGCAUUUUGGGGUCCAGGAAAAGUUGUUCUUCUUCUUUAAUAGUGAGAAUAAUCGAUGUCUCUUGUCCAAGGACUUCGAGAUGAAAUGGCCCAAGGCGGCUAUACACUCGGUUAGUCUUUGAACGACCUUGACAUUGUCCACCAUGGUGAUGUCUUCUACGGCAUUUAUUCUGUCGGGGUUGAUCUCGAUCCCUCGAUUGGAUACCAUGAACCUAAGGAAUUCGUCCGAUCCGACCCCGAAUGCACAUUUCUCCGGGUUCAACUUCAUAUUGUAUUGUUCACUAUGUCGAAGAACUCCUGCAAUGUUUCAAAUGGUCCUCUACUCGCCGGGACUUGACCAACAUAUUGUCAUUAUAAACUUCCAUUGAUUUCCCUAUUUGUUCUUCGAAUAUUCAUUUUACUAGGCGUUGAUUGGUGGAACCAACAUUCUUUAACCCAAACGACAUUACAUUAUAAUAGUAAGGGCCGAAUUUAUUGAUGAAAAAAGUCUUUUCUUGAUCGUCCAGGACCAUCCGAAUUUGGUUGUACCCGGAAUAGGCAUCGAGAAAGCUGAGUAUCUCAUGCCCGACUAUCGCGUCGAUCAUCCGAUCGAUGUUAGGCAAAGGGAAAGAUUGUUAGGGCAUGCUUUGUUUAGAACUUUGUAAUCUUCACAUGUUCUUAGCUUAUUCCCUAUUUUAGGCACUACCACUAUGUUGCCUAACCAGUGCAGGUAUUUAAAUUCCUGGAUGGAUCCUAUAUUAAGAAGUUUGGAUACCUCAUCCUUAACGAAUGCGUGCUUGAUCUCGGACUGUGGCCUUUUCUUCUGUUUAACUGGAUGGAACUUUACAUCCAAACGCAGCUUAUGAGUGGUUACCUCAGGUGAGAUCCCUAUCAUGUCGAGAUGGGACCAAGAGAAACAAUCUAUGUUAGAUUGAAGAUAAGCAAUAAGUUUUUUCCUGAGCUCGGUGGUUAACCCUGUGCCCAGGUAUACCUUUUGAUCUGGUAGGUUUUUGAUUAAUAUGACUUUCUCCAAUUCUUCAACCGUCGAUUUGGUGGCGUCGGUGUCAUUAGGAUCCAUGAACCCAGGACACCGUAAUUAUCAUCCUCGUCUACUCCUUGUUCCUCCAAUUCUCCCGAGGCUGACAUUAGUAAUUGCUAUUUAAUUUCUUCCUUUUUGGUCGGCUGCUCGUUCCUUGAUAUCGAAAUUGCGGGCAUCGAUAUUACCUCAUCGAUAGGGAGAAAAUCCUUUGCAGCUGGUUGUUCUCCAUAGACUUUCUUGACUCCUCUCUGUGUAGGGAAUUUCAAUGUCUGGUGCAAGGCCAAGGGUACUGCCCUCAUGUUGUGAACCCACGGCCUUACAAAUAGAGCGUUAUACCUCAUGUCCUGUUUGGUCACAUAGAACUUUGUCUCUUGGAUCAUCCCAGAUGUGUUUACUAGCAUGGUUAUCUCCCUUUUAGUGGUUUUGCAUACAAUCUUAAAUCCAUUCAACACCUAGAUUGCCGACACGAUUUGGUCCUGUAACCCCAGUUGCUCUACGACCCUUGAUCUAAUGAUGUUGCCGAGCUACCUGUAUCAAUAAACACACAUUUACUCGAGAUUUAUUAAUAAGUAUGGAUAUUACCAGUGCAUCAUCGUGAGGUUGCACGAUGCCCUCGGCAUCCUCGUUGCUGAACAAAAUGGUUCACUCCAGGACAUAAUAUCGGGUGUGUUUUUCUCUUGUGAUAGAUACUUUAGUGCACUUUAUGAUUGGUCCUUGGUGGACAUCCACUCCUCCAAUGAUCAUGUUGAUGGCGUGCUGAGGCAAAUCUUGUUCGAUGUGUUUGUUGGUGUCCCUGUUCAUGAAGUGGUUUUUUGCUCAAUCACUCAAGAAUUCUUGGAGGUGCCCGUUGUUGAAUAAUCGGGCAACUUCUUUUCGUAACUAUCGGCAAUCCUCGGACCUGUGACUAUGAGUGUCAUGAUACUUACACAUCAAGUUAGGAUCUCUUUGGGUAGGGUCAGACUGCCAUGGUCGGGGCCAUUUUGUCUCUUUAAUGUGCCCGAUGGCUGACACAAUGCUAGCAGCAUCAACAUUGAAGUUAUACUCUUAUAAUUUCAGUGCUUCCUUACUCUCGAGCAGCCUGGUGAAACCAUUUUUGCUCAUCAGACCUCAGCUACUAGGAACUCGAUUUCCUCUCUUCUCGUUCCUCGUGGGGUGGCGCCCGGAACCAUUUCCCCUUCGCUCCGCAUUAUAUGGUUGGUACCGAUCCCAGACUGUACUUGGCUCAUGAUCAACGACUUUCUUAGACCUAUCAUUGGCCCUAAUAGGGUAAAUACGCCCAAAAGAAGCCCUGAAUUGGUCGUCCUUGGCCCUGAUCUUUGACUGAUACUUGUUGUGGACGUUGGCUCAGGUCACCACCGAGUACUUUACCAAAUUUUGUUUUGGCUGUUGAGAGGCCAAGGAACUUCGGGGGUUAAGCCCCUGAGUGAAUUCUGGAACUGCCCAAUCAUUUGCAACCGCAGGCAGGUACAUCUGUUCCAUCUAGAACCUUGACACGAACUCCCUGAGCGUCUUGUUGUUUCUUUGAUUAACGUUGAAAAGGUAUGACUUCCUGGUCCCCACCUUGAUGGCCCUCGCUUGGGCUUUCAAGAAAGCAUCUGCAGCCAUAGCAAAUGAGUCAAUAGAAUUUGGGGGUAUGUUGUGGUACCAUAUCAUUGCUCCUUUGGACAAAGUCUACCCAAACUUCUUCAGUAACACCGACUCGAUUUCAUCAUCUUCCAAGUAAUUCCUCUUGAUUGCACACGUAUAGGAGGUCACAUGCUCGUUCGGAUCCAUGGUCCUGUUAUAUUUGGGGAUAUCAGGCAUAUGAUACCUCUUUGCGAUCGGCUUUGCUACUGCUCUCGAAGGGAAAAGUUUCUGAAUAAAUUUCUUGCAAUUCGGCCCCUUCAAUAUCGGGGGUACUCCCGGGAUUUGAUUGAUCAUGGAAUUGUAUGUUUCCUUCUUCUUGUCAUUAGUCUCAAUUUUCUUCUUACCUCACUCCACCCGCUUGGUUUAAGCUCCAAGAAAUUUCAUUAUCUUGGGAUUGACCCCGAGCUUGGCUUCACUUGGUCUCUUAGUGAUUUGUCCCUUUCUUCGGGUACUUUCCCGGGAUUAUUCGGGCUCGACCAUGUUGGGGGCGUGGCUUUGAUUCAAUAGCUGCGGUAUUGCCACCUGUUGGGCCUACAACAUUUCAAAGAUUAGCCGUAGGCUUACCUCAUCAAAUUCUCCUUUUGGCGCUUCUCCAUCUAUUGGUCGGGGGUCCCCCCGCGAAUACUAUUUUCGGGAUCAAUUGAAAAAUUGUCAUCGAUGGCCACCUGUGAGUUAGCAUCGACCGGAUCAACAACUAGGACACCGUUGGGAUUAGCAGGAGGCAUCUCAUUGCUAGGUACCAAAUUAUUAUUUUCGCCAUGAUGGCCAGACUCAGCAAUAACGUUCAAGUAGGCAGAUUGAGAGUUCGACAUUUUCGGGCUGACCUGAAAUUAAGACUUUAAAGAACAAGUGUAAAAUAGGGCGUGGUAUGGAGACUCGUAUGAAAUAACCACUAUUGUCCUUAGCCCCAUGGUGGGCGCUAAACUAUUUACCUUUAAAUUGGAUAACAAUUAAAUUUAUACAUGGUUUUAACAAUACGUGAUUUGAUUCAACACAUACAAUUAAGUAUACUUGAUAAAUGAAUUAAUGACGAAUCAAAUGAUCAAACCAAUUGUGAAGUUGUGUCCAAGCCUGAAAUUAGAUCAAACAAUGACCUCUUCCUCAUGGGAUCCUCGAUUCGAGCUCAGUAGUGAAUGAAGAACAGGUUAAGUGAACAAGAACUUUAACAGUAAUUAAAAUGCAAAAAAUGAAUUCGUAUUGCUUUGAUUCACUUGUUACAAGGUGUCUUAAAAAAGAAAAACUUCCCCUUUAUAUAGUAGGAGAGUUUCAUCCCCUAGUAUAAGUCUAGAAAAGGUAAAAAAAAAUCUCUCUUUCUCGUUAAUUACUUAUCUGUAACCGACAUUGAGCGAGAUCCACGUCGUGAUAUCCGAUUAGGUGCGAAUAUCAUGGCUGUCUAUCCAUAGUGUGUAAUCGUUUAUCAUGUUUCUCUAGGUCUUAGAACUUUUCCUAGGUCCGAGGUGCCUUGCUUUAUCAGGCCCGAUGAUGAGCACAUCAUUCACCUUUCAUGGAUCUCGAUACAAAGGGCUCAGAGCCUUGAUUUCAAUCUCAUGCGUUUAUGCCCAUGUUCUGUUUUCUUCAUAGGUAAAUCAGGGUAUAAAUUAUCCCCGAUUUUACCCCUAUACAACCUCAAUAUAGAAUCAGAUUAGUGUGUUAUACUCCCGUUCAUUUUUCUUAGUACCUGACACAAGCAAAAACCUGAUCAUCAUGUAGACCUCGUUUGUUUUCACUUACUUAAUGUCUGGAUCUGAAUCCUUUAGGCACAUCAAUUCUAGAGUUUAUGUUUGUUCUAUAUAUUUAUAAAUUAUUUUUGGUUACUAUUUCUUAGAAAUUAAACCAAGAUUAAUUAGUAUUCCUACAUCGUCUAGGAUUUGGUAUUUAUUAGUUUGUUUAAUUUAUGUCUAAUUAGGAUUCACAGCCAAAAUCAUGUAGGAAUAAAUUUUCUAGAUUUUAGUCAAAUUUGGAUUGUAGUAUUAUAAAUGGGGGUGAUACUACAUAUUUUCUAUUGCAGAGAGGUAACUACGAUGUAGAGAGAUUCAAGAGUUUAUGAGUUGUGAAAAAGCCUCCUAUCACAUUUUCUCCCUAGUUUGAUAAAUUUCUUCUAUAUAGCCUUUUGUUAAUUUUUUGCUUGUGCCUAAAUUAUUCUUCGAGAUAUUUUAAUCCUUCAAAUUGGUAUUAGAGCCUGUAUGAGAUCCUGUUUGAGCCGGUAUGAGAUCCAAAAACAUAUAUGGAUACUCUAUUACCUCAUUGUCCUGUUUUUGCGUUUGAUGGCAAAAUAAUUUUGAAACUUGGUAUCAACAAAUGAAGAAUUUUUUAAUGCUAUUGGAUUAUGGUCCACCAUUGAUGAAGAAUUUGAGGAACCCAGAAGGCACAAUGUUGGCGGGUAAUGCAGCUACACGAUUGGAGAAGAAGAGACAUUGAGAUUAUAAGGCACACUACUAUCUCAUCAUCAAGGUCGAAUUGAAUGUAUCCAAAAAAUAUUUGCAUGAAAUGACAUCAAAUGAGGCUUUGGAUAAUCUUGGUGAAGUCAUAUUGAAGAGUUGUUGACAUAAAAAAGAAGAAACUUCAAGAGUUUAGGAGUCAAUUUGAGUUGGCUUAUAAGAGACCAAUAGAGUAUGUCAAAGAAUUGUUGACAAGAAUUAAAGAAAUAGUCAAUGGUCUAAGGACCAAUGGAGAAGUACUGGAAGAAGUUAAUAUUGUUGAAAAAAAAUUGCAGUCUCUCAGUUUAAAAUUUAACAACGAGAAAGUUUUUCUUGAGGCUAUCAAAGAUCUUAGCACUCUCAAAUUUGAUGAUUUAGAAGGAGAAUUUGUGAUAUACGAGAGAUAACUGAAUCAACAGAAAGAUGAAAUAUUGGAGAAGGCAUCACAGGAAAAGGAUGAUCAACCAAAAGAAAAAGGCGACACAUCCAACAUGACGAAAAUAAAUUAAGAAGGCCAAAAUUCAGAAACAGAAGAGAAAAAAAAAGAUGGUACAUGUAAUUUUUAUUGUGAUAGUGAUUCUAUUGAAUGUGAAGGAAAGUAAAAUAAUAUUCAAAUUGAUCUGCCAAAAUUUUUUUCGGCUAUUAAAAACGAUGAUUUGGUUGCAAGGGAUGUUCGACCAAAAGUGGUUGAUAUUUCACAAGAAAUAUUCUUUGAUGGUAUUGAAGAUUAACCUAGUAAUGAAAUAAAUAAGAUGGGUCAUCAAGAGAAAGUUUUUAUUGAUCAAUCCAAGAUUAAGGUAGAAAUAACGAGGGAUUCAGAACUCAACAACGCACGAUUAUAGAUAUUGAAGAUGCAAUCAAUUUCAUACUAUUAUUUGAGAUUGCAUGUUUUAAGGAGCACGACUAAAUGUUUAUAGGUGGUAUUACUCUACAACCUAUAGAAUGGAAAAUUAAAGUUGAAUGGGUGUACAAGCCUAACUACAAGGUAACUGGAUAAACAGAUGAUUUCAAAGUAAAGAAAAAAUAUGUUGAUGAUAUUUUGAAGGAAUCUACCAUGAGUAAAAAUUAAAGUUAAUUAAAGAUGAUGAUCGUGAUUUUGUUGAUGCUACAUAAUUUAGGAAAUUGAUGGAGAGUCUAAGGUACUUGACUUCUACAAGGCCUGAUGUUACUCAUGGCAUGCUCAAGUUUGAAGAUCUUAGUUCAAGAGAGGUUGUUGGAAAUUAAACCAAGAUUAAUUAGUAUUCCUACGUCGUCUAGGAUUUUGUAUUUACUAGUUUAUUUAAUUUAUGUCUAAUUAGGAUUCAUAGCCAAAAUCAUGUAGGAAUAGGUUUUCUAGUUUCUAGUCAAAUUUGGAUAGUAGUAUUAUAAAUGGGGGUGCUACUACAUAUUUUCUAUUGUAGAGAGGUAACUAUGAUGUAAAGAGAUUCAAGAGUUUAUGAGUUGUGAAAAAGCCUCUUACCAUGUUCUCUCUCUAGUUUGUUAAUUUUUUCUGUAUAUCCUUUGUUAUUUUUGAUUUUGCUUGUGCCUAAAUCUUCGAAGUAUUUCAAUCCUUCAUUAUUGAAUGUAUACCCUAUGUUUUUCUAAAAUUUAGUCUCGCUCUCAAGAUUUGCAGACAAGUUCUCUUAUCCGUAUAAACAAUAUGAUGUCUAUCAUAAUAUAAAUGACUAGAUCUUAUCAUUCUUAUCUAUAAAAUAAAAAGAGGAAUGUUAACUUUUUUAAGGUAAGUGUUGCUGCCAAACGCAUGAACAAGUAUACAUGAUCGACAAGUAAUAUAGGAUUGUAAGUCCACAUAUCGUAACCACAAAGACUGGUGAUUAACUAUUUACUAAAUUAAACAAAGACAAUUGAUCUAUUCAAAUGAUUCUUAAAGUGUGAUAAUUAGAUCUAAUUUAGAGUAGUAAACUAAGAGAUUAAAGGAAACAAGUUGAUGAAAUUAGACACAAAUUCAACGGGAGCCGAUAUUCUAGAGCUAUGGGUUAGCUAACAAUCUCGUUGAUUCUUCCACUCAAAUUCUCUAAUUAAUUUAUUCAGUUUAUUGAUUGACAGAGUUAAUGUUACUCAUAGCAUUCUCUCAAAGUACUACUAGCCUAUUCAAGCUAACCUAACGCCUAUAUUCAUAUGAAAUUAAGAUUAACAAGAAUGCAUUAAUAAUUCAUGUAUAAUAACCAAGAAAGUUAAUUAGAUAUAUCCCUAUCCUAAACGCAAAUCUGUUACCGAUACUCAACUUCAAGAUCUUGCUCUACUCAAUCUUAAAACAAUCUAGAAUUCCCUCUCCCGAGUUAAAUCCUAGAUUCGUAGAUAUUAUUCAAUUUGUGAUCAAGCAAUCAAAUAAUGAAGCGCAAGAUUGAAUAAUAAACCAAAUGAUAAAAUAGUAAGAAUAGUUCAAGCUUCAAACUACAACGUUCAUGUAGCACCCACAACUCUAGAACUAAUGAACUAUGGUAUUAAAGGAAGAGAAGAGAAGAAAAACUAGCUAGAAGCCUCCUCCCAAGCGUGGUUUGCGUUUUCCCCUUCAAAGUGGCAUGUUCUCCUCCCAAAAAUAUGUUAGAUAUCCUCUAAAUUAGAUUUAGACUUCUUUUUAUACGAGUUGGGGGCAUGUAGGGCCAGAAUAACAUUGUCCCGGGCGAAAUAAGAGUGAAAUCCAUCACCUAGCGCCCAGGGUAGCAUGGGGCGCUAGCCCUAGCACUUGAAAAUUUUUGCAUCAGGAAGUUGCACCCCUGGUACUGCCCUGUGACGACCCGGCCAGUUGUAUCAUGAGUUACCACUCCAUUUCUCCCAUUUUUGCUUCUUAUUUCUUUGUCUAAUGGUCCUAUAUGCGAUCGGGUUGGUUGGCUCGGGUUCGGAAAGGAUUUGGUAAGGUUUGAGAUCACUUAGUCUCUUUUGAGGAAUCUUAAGUUGGAAAAGUCAAACGGAUGUUGACUUAUUAUUUAGAGGGCUCGGAUGUGAGUUCCGAUGGUUUGGUUAGCUUCGGGAGGUGAUUUGGGACUUAGGAGUGUGAUCGGAAUGAGUUUUGGAGGUUCGGAGUAGAUUUAGGCUUGAAUUGGCGAAGUUGAUAUUUUGGCAAUUUCCGGUUGGUAGGUGAGAUUUUGAUAUAGGGGUUGGAAUGGAAUUCCGAGAGUUGCAGUAGUUCCGUUGUGUCAUUUGGGAUGUGUGUGCAAAAUUUUAGGUCAUUCAAACGUGGUUUGGUUGGGUUUUUGAUCAAAAGUGGAAUUUAGAAGUUUUUGGAAUUCUUAGGCUUGAAUCCAAUGUAAUUUUAGUGUUUUGAUGUUGUUUUGGGAGUUCUGAGGGUUGGAACAAGUUUGAAUGAGGUUAUGGGAUAUGUUGGCAUGUCUGGUUGGGGUCCCGAAGUCCUCGGGUGAGUUUCGGAGGGUUGAACAGAUCAUUUUAAGUUAAAGAAAAGUUGCAGAUUUUGGGUUCAGCUGUUGUAAGUAUUUUGUUCUUCGCGUUCGCGAGUGAACCCUCGCGUUCGUGAAGGGUCAGGAAGGGAGGCAUCAGGAUUAGCUUUCACGUUCGCGAGGGGGAGUCCCGCAUUCACGAAGGGCCGGAAUGGGAAGCAUCGCGUUCGCGAAGGCCUGACCGUAUUCGCGAAGGUUGGUGAAGCUAAGGCAUCGCGUUCGCGAAGGAGAGUUUUGGUCAAUGGAAUUUUUUUUGUGCUUCGCGAACGCGAGUCUUUGACCACGUUCGCGAAGAAGGAUUUCUGGUCGCUGGGCAGAAUGUUUAAAAGGUCAUUUUCGCGAGUUUUGGCCUAAGUCCACCAUUUUUACUCGGAUAAGGAUUCCGUUGAUAUAAUUUUUAUUAAGUUUUGAGACGUGGGCCCNNNNNNNNNNNNNNNNNNNNNNNNNNNNNNNNNNNNNNNNNNNNNNNNNNNNNNNNNNNNNNNNNNNNNNNNNNNNNNNNNNNNNNNNNNNNNNNNNNNNNNNNNNNNNNNNNNNNNNNNNNNNNNNNNNNNNNNNNNNNNNNNNNNNNNNNNNNNNNNNNNNNNNNNNNNNNNNNNNNNNNNNNNNNNNNNNNNNNNNNNNNNNNNNNNNNNNNNNNNNNNNNNNNNNNNNNNNNNNNNNNNNNNNNNNNNNNNNNNNNNNNNNNNNNNNNNNNNNNNNNNNNNNNNNNNNNNNNNNNNNNNNNNNNNNNNNNNNNNNNNNNNNNNNNNNNNNNNNNNNNNNNNNNNNNNNNNNNNNNNNNNNNNNNNNNNNNNNNNNNNNNNNNNNNNNNNNNNNNNNNNNNNNNNNNNNNNNNNNNNNNNNNNNNNNNNNNNNNNNNNNNNNNNNNNNNNNNNNNNNNNNNNNNNNNNNNNNNNNNNNNNNNNNNNNNNNNNNNNNNNNNNNNNNNNNNNNNNNNNNNNNNNNNNNNNNNNNNNNNNNNNNNNNNNNNNNNNNNNNNNNNNNNNNNNNNNNNNNNNNNNNNNNNNNNNNNNNNNNNNNNNNNNNNNNNNNNNNNNNNNNNNNNNNNNNNNNNNNNNNNNNNNNNNNNNNNNNNNNNNNNNNNNNNNNNNNNNNNNNNNNNNNNNNNNNNNNNNNNNNNNNNNNNNNNNNNNNNNNNNNNNNNNNNNNNNNNNNNNNNNNNNNNNNNNNNNNNNNNNNNNNNNNNNNNNNNNNNNNNNNNNNNNNNNNNNNNNNNNNNNNNNNNNNNNNNNNNNNNNNNNNNNNNNNNNNNNNNNNNNNNNNNNNNNNNNNNNNNNNNNNNNNNNNNNNNNNNNNNNNNNNNNNNNNNNNNNNNNNNNNNNNNNNNNNNNNNNNNNNNNNNNNNNNNNNNNNNNNNNNNNNNNNNNNNNNNNNNNNNNNNNNNNNNNNNNNNNNNNNNNNNNNNNNNNNNNNNNNNNNNNNNNNNNNNNNNNNNNNNNNNNNNNNNNNNNNNNNNNNNNNNNNNNNNNNNNNNNNNNNNNNNNNNNNNNNNNNNNNNNNNNNNNNNNNNNNNNNNNNNNNNNNNNNNNNNNNNNNNNNNNNNNNNNNNNNNNNNNNNNNNNNNNNNNNNNNNNNNNNNNNNNNNNNNNNNNNNNNNNNNNNNNNNNNNNNNNNNNNNNNNNNNNNNNNNNNNNNNNNNNNNNNNNNNNNNNNNNNNNNNNNNNNNNNNNNNNNNNNNNNNNNNNNNNNNNNNNNNNNNNNNNNNNNNNNNNNNNNNNNNNNNNNNNNNNNNNNNNNNNNNNNNNNNNNNNNNNNNNNNNNNNNNNNNNNNNNNNNNNNNNNNNNNNNNNNNNNNNNNNNNNNNNNNNNNNNNNNNNNNNNNNNNNNNNNNNNNNNNNNNNNNNNNNNNNNNNNNNNNNNNNNNNNNNNNNNNNNNNNNNNNNNNNNNNNNNNNNNNNNNNNNNNNNNNNNNNNNNNNNNNNNNNNNNNNNNNNNNNNNNNNNNNNNNNNNNNNNNNNNNNNNNNNNNNNNNNNNNNNNNNNNNNNNNNNNNNNNNNNNNNNNNNNNNNNNNNNNNNNNNNNNNNNNNNNNNNNNNNNNNNNNNNNUAUUAUGAAAUAUUAAUGAGCCUGAGUGCUGAGAGUGAGUACUGAGUGACGAGAGUUGAGUUACGAGUGAUUGAGAGGCUGCUCGAGAGGCCAUAUUCUAAGUGACACCUUGACCGAAGGGCCCAGUUAUGAUAUUUUCACUGAUUUCACUCUUCUUUUAAAAUAAGCCUCCGUUGGAAAAAUUGCUAAUUAUAGGAUUUCAAGUAUUUAAACUGAAAUUGAUGACUUUACGACGAAACUGGUUUUAAACUGUGAAGUUGAUCUGUUAUCCUGUUGUUCAUUCAUUUAUAUGAUUUUUAACUGCUCGUCACUGCUUUCAGACCUUAUUUACUUUAGUUACUUACUGAGUUGGCGUACUCACGUUACUCCCUGCACCGUGUGUGCAGAUUCAGGUGCCCGAGCGGCAGAGUGAGGGUCCUCAGCAUUAUUAGAGUUUGCCGGAGUCUGCAAGGUAGAUGCAUGGUGUUCGCAACCCUGCUUUCUUCCUCUAUCCUUGUUUUUCCGCAUUUUAGACUUGUUUUGUAUCAGACGAUCAGAAUUGUAUAUGUUAGAGGCUCUAGACUUGUGACACCAGAUGGUUGGGCCGUGUUGGUUUAACAUUGUGUUGAUUUCCACACCUUUUGGCUAUUUUAUGCACUUCUUAUGAAAAAUUGAGGUUUUAAACUUGUGUUAGAAAACUGGUUUUAUAAAAGAAAUUUGUUGUAGUUAAUGGUUUGGGUUGGCUUGCCUAGUAAUGUGAUAGGCGCCAUCAUGACCAGGUAUUUGGGGCCGUGACAAGUUGGUAUCAAAGCCUAGGUACAUAGGUCUCUCGAGUCAUGAGCCGGUUUAGUAGAGUCUCGCGGAUCAGUACGGAGACGUCUGUACUUAUUCUCGGGAGGCUGCAGAACCUUUAGGAAAAACUUCAUACUCUUGAAAUUCUUGUCAUGCGAAUUUGUUGAUCCGAGUACUAAACUUAUGUAAUUCCAUUCUCUCACAGAUAGUGAGGACACGUGCUACCGGGCAGGAUGGACGACCACCCGUACCACCAGCUAGGGCCACUAUAAGCCGAAGACACAGUCGAGGCCGUGGUAGGGGCAGAGCAGCUAGGGCAAAACCUGCAGAUCCACUAGCUGCCACAGUUUAGGAUCAAGUCCCAGAUGUGGAUGCUACAGCAGCACCAGCUCAGGCACCCGUCGUGCCUAUUGUGAUUCCAGGCCUUUAGGAGGCUUUAGCUCAGAUCUUGUCAGUGUGUACCAGUUUGGCCAGGUGGUCUCAGUUACUACGGCCGCAGCUACUUCUCAUGCUGGGGGAGGCACCCGGACUACCAUUGCUCGCACACCUUAGCAGGUUGUGCAGGGACUCCAGACACCGGGGGUACCUCCAGCCCAGCCGAUUGCACUAGCUCAAGAGUAUGUGGUACCAGUUAUGCCGGACGACGAGCAGCAUCGACUAGAGAGGUUUGGCAGACUUCAGCCUCCGACUUUCAGUGGGGCAGAUGGCGAGGAUGCCCAGGGUUUCUUGGAUAAGUGCCAGAGGAUGCUUCGUAUAACAGGUAUUCUAGAGACCAGUGGUGUAGCUUUUACCACCUUUCAGUUUUCUGAGGCUGCCUUCACUUGGUAGGAGGCGUAUGAGAGGUGUAGGCAUGUUGAUGCAGUGCCCAUUACCUGGUAGUAGUUCUCUGUUCUCUUUCUGGAGAAGUAUGUGCCACAGUCUCGCCGAGAGGAGCUGUGCAGGCAGUUCGAGCAGUUGCGUCAGGGAGAGAUGACUGUGACAUAGUAUGAGAUGCAGUUCUCUGUUAGCUCACCAUGCAGUCUGGUUAGUUCCGAUAGAUAGAGAGAGGAUUAUGAGGUUUGUUGAUGGUAUCACAUAUCAGCUUCGGAUUCUCAUGACUAGGGACAGGGUGACAGGUGCUACUUUUGAGGAGGUUGGUGACAUCACCCGUAAGAUUGAGUCGGUUUGCCGCCAAGAGCGAGAGGAGAGGGAGGCCAAGAGGCCUCGGGGAUCAGGUAGCUUUAGUAGUGCUCCUUCGAGGGUCAGUUCUAGCAGAGCAGAGGCCAUCCAUUUAGGCAGGCUCAUUCAGCUUGCCCAGGUUAUCGUAGGGCAUCGUCAGGUCAUGGUUCUCAUAGUUCUCGUCAGGUCCACUCAUCACUCAAUGCCCUUCCAGCCCAGAGUUCGUCCCGUGCUCCAUCAGUUUAGGGUUCUUCCAUGCCAGGUCCUUCUACUGGUCAUUCCGGUGCCAGGGGUUCCCUUCAGUCCCCAUUUCCAGCACCGGGAAGUUGUUAUGAGUAUGGGGAGUUUGGGCAUAUGAGGAGGCAAUGUCCUUGUCUUCAUGAUGGUCCAUCUCAGCAGAGGGGUCAGCCCUCAACUUCAGCUCCAGUUACUUCACCACCUGCCUAGCCAGCUAGGGGUAGAGGUCAGGAAACUAGGGGUUACCCUAGAGGGGGAGGUCGAUCAUGUGGUGGUCAGGCUCGUUUCUAUGCCGUCCCAGGUAGACCAGAUGAUGUUGCUUCAGAUGUCGUGAUCUCAGGUAUUGUUUCAGUCUGCCACAGAGAUGCCUCUGUAUUAUUUGAUCCUGGUUCCACCUUUUCUUAUGUGUCAUCAUACUUUGCCCAUUAUUUGGAUACCCCCUGUGAGUCUCUCGUUUCACCUGUUCAUGUAUCUACUCAAGUGGGCAAUACUGUUAUCGUAGACCGUGUGUACCGGUCGUGUGUGGUGACUAUUGGUGGUCUGGAGACGCGAUUGGAUCUUUUAUUAUUGUUUAUGGUGGAUUUUGAUAUCAUUUUGGGCAUGGAUUGGAUAUCUUCGUGUCGUGCUAUUCUGGACUGUCAUGCCAAGACAGUUAUAUUGGCUAUACCGAGUGUUCCACAGAUUGAGUGGCGAGGUUUGACUAAUUAUGUUCCCAGUAGAGUGAUCUAAUAUUUGAAGGCCCAUCGUAUGGUUGGGAAGGGAUGUCUUUCGUAUCUAGCCUUUGUGAGGGAUGUCGGUGCAGAGACUCCCAGUAUUGAUUCUGUCCCAGUUGUGAGGGAUUUUCCUGAUGUGUUUCCUACAGACCUGUUGGGCAUGCCACCGGACAGGGAUAUUGAUUUUGGUAUUGACCUGGUGCCGGGCACUCAGCUCAUUUCUAUUCAGACGUAUCAUAUGGCACUAGCAGAGUUGAAAGAGUUAAAGGAGCAGCUUCAGGAACUCCUUGACAAGGGGUUCAUUCGGCCUAGUAUGUCACCAUAAGGUGCGCCGGUUCUAUUUGUGAAGAAGAAGGAUGGCACUAUGAGGAUGUGCAUUGAUUAUAGGCAAUUGAAUAAAGUAACAAUUAAGAACAAGUAUCCUUUGCCUCGCAUUGAUGAUUUAUUCGACCAGUUUCAGGGAGCGAGAGUGUUCUCCAAGAUUGAUCUCUGUUCGGGUUAUCACCAGUUGAAGAUCAAGGACUCGGAUAUUCUUAAGACAACUUUCAGGACACGAUAUGGUCAUUAUGAGUUCUUGGUGAUGUCUUUUGGCUGACCAAUGCCCCAGCAGCGUUCAUGCAUUUGAUGAACAACGUGUUCCCGCCUUAUCUCGAUUUGUUUGUCAUAGUCUUCAUUGAUUAUAUUCUGGUGUAUUCGCGUAGUCAAGAGAAGCAUGCGGAGCAUUUGAGAGUUCUGUUGCAGAGAUUGAGGGAGCAGAAGCUUUAUGCAAAAUUCUCCAAGUGUGAGUUUUGGCUCAGUUCAGUGGCUUUCUUGGGGCAUGUGAUGUCCAGUGAGGGUAUUCAGGUUGAUCCGAAGAAGAUAGAGGUGGUUCAGAGUUGGCCCAGACCAUCCUCAACCAUAGAGAUUCGCAGCUUUCUUGGUUUGGCAGGCUAUUAUCGUUGGUUUGUUCAGGGAUUCUCAUCUAUCGCAUCGCCCUUGACCAAGUUGAUUCAGAAGGGUAUUUCAUGUGUAUGGUAGGACGAGUGUGAGGAGAGCUUUCAGAAGCUCAAGACAGCUUUGACCACAACUCUAGUGUUAGUUUUGCCAUCAGCUUAAGGUUCAUAUACCGUGUAUUGUGAUGCUUCGAGAGUUGGUAUUGGUUGUGUAUUGAUGCAGGAGGGUAGAGUUAUUGCUUAUGCUUCUCGUCAGUUGAAGCCCCAUGAGAAGAACUACCCCGUUCACGAUUUAGAGUUGGCUGCCAUAGUUCACGCGUUGAAGAUUUGGAGGCAUUACUUGUAUGGUGUGUCUUGUGAGGUGUUUACUGAUCAUUGUAGCCUCCACCACAUUGGCCUUCCCCAUACCAAUGUGGUGGCCGAUGCUUUGAGCCAAAAGGUGGUGAGUAUGGGGAGUUUGGAAUAUAUUUCAGUUGGGGAGAAACCUCUUGUAGUUGAUGUUCAGGCCUUGGCCAAUCGGUUCGUGAGGUUAGAUUUUCGAAGUCCAGUCGGGUAUUGACUUGCAUGGUUUCUUGGUCUUCUUUAUAUGAUCGCAUCAGAGAGCGCCAGUAUGAUGAUCUGCAUUUGCUUGUCCUUAAGGACAGAGUUCAGCAUGAUGAUACCAAAGAUGUGACUAAGUCAUUGAAUUCAUCUAGUACCACGUAAUAUGUCAAUUUAUGAUACCGGCCGUGAUUUUUUGCAAUAAUAGAAAAUAAUUCAUCAGCAACAAGGUGAGUAAGUUUUUUGAAUAUCACAAGAUCAAGAAGAUAUUAUCAACACCUUAUCACCCUAGUGGGAUCGGGCAGGCAAAAUCAAAGAACAUGCCUAUACUAAAAAACUUGAAGAAGAGGUUGACCGGUUCGAAAGGGAAAUGGAAGGAGAUCCUCCCCGAAGUCUUAUAGGCAUACUGUACGACUUCAAAAUAAUGCACUGGAGCCACCCUGUUUUCUUUGGUUUACGUAGCCAAAGCGCUUAUACCAGUCGAGGUGGGAGAAUUGAGUCUCGGGUUCCAUUAUGCGGCCGAAGCGCCGAACAGCGAGGCCAUGAUUACGAGCCUGGAACUAUUGGAUGAAAGACAGGAGCCCGCCUUAGUCCGGUUAACUACCCAAAAAUAGCAAAUAGAAAGGUAUUACAACCAAAGAGUCAGCCUCUGACACUUUCCACUCGGGAACUUAGUGUUGAGAAAAGUAACACUACACACCAAAAAUACGAAUGAAGGGAAAUUGCUCUCGAAUUAGGAAGGAUUGUAUCGAGUUUCUAGAGUAACCCGCAAAGAAUUAUAUAAACUCGAAGCGGGAAAUGUUGUACAACUACCAAACAACUAGAACAUAACACGCUUAAAGCGGUAGUACAGCUAAGGUACAAACUCAUUCACUUUCUAAUUAUGUUAUAAACUGGACUAACAUAUGCAGGUAAUCAGCCAAGGAUGGAUGUGGCUAUUAGGUCUGAAAGCACGUGUUGCACUGUUUUUCCCUUGAACUGGUUUUGUCCCAAAACGGAUUUUUUCGGCAAGGUUUUUAAUGAGAAAAUAGUAAAACUUGCUACCUUAGAUUUAAAGAUCGGUUUCAAACCAGAAUCGAUGAUUAUUUUCUUUAGAUUAACAGUAUCCGAUCCCUCACUAGUUCGACCCAGAUACUGGGGGCCAUUAACCCCGAAUUAAGAUCUUUAGCAAGGGAAAAAGAAAAUUUUAUGUGCUAAAGUCUAAGGCACGGUGGUUAGGAUUCACCGUAAGGGACAAACGGUCGUAUGAACCGUGCCCACAUAAUCCACUCUAGCCACGACACAAGUUUUAUAUGUUGUUGAUCAUGUACCUUGCACACUAUGCAAUGAAAUAAAUUUCUACUUCCCUUACACUUUCUUACUGUGCAUUUUUCUUCUUUGAUCCUAGAUCCUAAAGCCCAUAUGCUACCCCUACUUGGGGACUAUCGCCCGAUUAAAAUUCAAAUGUACCAAACCCACUAGGCAGUGUUCAAAUAUAAAAGGCUACGACCACUCUAAAAAUGGCUCAAAGAAGCCUGAAGUCUGUAACCAGAAAGUAACGCCCUUACAAAAAAUUGAAACCUACUAAAAGGUUAACCUCGGCAAAAACAUUGUCUAAAAACACUUAAGCAUCUUAAAAACCUUCGGUCUUACCAAGGGUUCGAAGCCAUAAUUAAACCAAAGUUGCAUCGAAGUCGGGCUCUGUUCUAACCUCUGAAAAAUGGAUGCUCCAGAACUACAUGUGAUUUUAUGCUAAGGCAUUAAAAACAAUAUACAAAUAGAAAUUGCAAGUAAAUGCUGGAAAAGUAAAGACACAGUACUGCCAGAAAGGGGAAAAUUUUAUAUACUCCAAAAUAUAUUUACAAAGGCACGAUAGAACGGCCACAAAAUAAACAAAAAAAUAUACAUAAGGAAAAACUGGAAUAGUACUAAGGCAUCUACGCCUAGUCUUCACCGAGGCUCGACUCGUCGCCUGAACCGUCGGAGCCCUCAAAACCUUCGGAACCCUUGGAGCCUUCGGGACCCUCAAGCUCGUAGAGCUCCUUUGUCUCGGCCUCAAGCCUCCUAGCUUAUUCAAUCUCGGUCGAUAGGUCAAAACCUCAGACAUGGAUCUCUUCUAUGGUCUCUCUUCGGGAUAGCCGCUUUACGUACUCAGUCUUCAUCUUUAAGUGGGUCUCGGCUACCUCCACAUCAACCUUAUACUGGGCCACCAUUUCCUCGGCAUCAGUAGAGGUUUCAUCCAAUUUAUACCUCAGUGCGGCAUAUUCUUAUCUGAGAGCAUCUAGUUUUGUGACGGCUGAGCUCAGUUUUGCCCCGAGUUCAUCAUUUAGCAGAGACCAUUUAUCGGUUGUGCCAUUCUCCACCCAGAGCUGGUUCUCGACCAAUGCCAGCUCCGCUUUCGCAGCUUCCUUCUCCAAAGCCUACAGGUCCAUCAUGCCCUUCCACACUUUGGUCAUGGCUUUAACCUCAUCCAUCUCAGCCCAAAAGUGGUCGAUCAUAUUUAUCUUUUCUUGGACUUGCGAAUUUGUGUUGUUAGUCACCACGACUAGCUGUUCAUUUUUAGCCUCUAAGAUCUUUACCUUCUCAACCAGGUCGGGUUGUUCCUGCUUCAAGGUCGAGGCGUCUUUUUGAGCCUUUACAGCUCGGCAUGGAGAAUCAGGAGGUCUUUGAGACCCUCGUCCUGCUUCUCACUAAGAUCCCUAUACAUGUCCUUCUUCCGGACAUGCUCUUUGAGCUCGAACUCGAUCCAGCUAAUCUUGAAGCGAUACUAGAGGAAGCUUUCAUGGUGAAGCACUAAAGCCUGGAAAACAAUGAAGUUAGUAGAGGACAUCAAAAACCAAAAUGAGAUUCACAAAGGGGUACAAAGGGCUGACGCAUUACCUGGUUCAGCGCCUGCUGUACCACGUUGAAGAGGCUCGCGUGCCCACCUCGUUCAUCUUUGCAUGCUCCUACUCAGUUAUUAAUGCUCGAACUCAUCCCCCUUCACCCCCCGCUCUCGAUGGGAUAUCCUUCUUCGGGACCUCCAUGUGACCAUGCCUGGAAACUUUCUCUAGUGCGACUACAUCCAUGCCAUCGAAGAACAUGUUGAGGGCGUCGUUUGGGCUCUACGCCACCCCGCUUGACUUCUCUUUGCCCUCUUGGGCCUCUUUGAGUAUGGACUCGAUAUAGGAGGGUGUCUCCAUGAUGUCAAUGACACCGGAUGCCUCCUUCGAGAUAGGAGCGGCUUCCUGGGGGGCCACAACCUCCGUCUCUCCCUCUAGUUCCUGAGUAAGAGGGGGAUCGACCUCAUGGUCCUCUAUCUCGGUCGUUUCCUGCUCCCCCUCGUUAAGGAUCGACCCAUGUGCAAUAAAAAGGUCAUAAUCCUCGGGCUCAUCCUUGAGCCGGUAGAGAUAAUCGGGCUCUAGUACCUUAGACUUGGUGAUCACUUUCUUCUUCUUCGCCUCGGCGUCCGGAGAACCUGGACUUUAUUUUCUUCUUCUUCUUCUUCUUCUUCUUCUUCUUCUUCUUCUUCUUCUUCUUCUUCUUCUUCUUCNNNNNNNNNNNNNNNNNNNNNNNNNNNNNNNNNNNNNNNNNNNNNNNNNNNNNNNNNNNNNNNNNNNNNNNNNNNNNNNNNNNNNNNNNNNNNNNNNNNNNNNNNNNNNNNNNNNNNNNNNNNNNNNNNNNNNNNNNNNNNNNNNNNNNNNNNNNNNNNNNNNNNNNNNNNNNNNNNNNNNNNNNNNNNNNNNNNNNNNNNNNNNNNNNNNNNNNNNNNNNNNNNNNNNNNNNNNNNNNNNNNNNNNNNNNNNNNNNNNNNNNNNNNNNNNNNNNNNNNNNNNNNNNNNNNNNNNNNNNNNNNNNNNNNNNNNNNNNNNNNNNNNNNNNNNNNNNNNNNNNNNNNNNNNNNNNNNNNNNNNNNNNNNNNNNNNNNNNNNNNNNNNNNNNNNNNNNNNNNNNNNNNNNNNNNNNNNNNNNNNNNNNNNNNNNNNNNNNNNNNNNNNNNNNNNNNNNNNNNNNNNNNNNNNNNNNNNNNNNNNNNNNNNNNNNNNNNNNNNNNNNNNNNNNNNNNNNNNNNNNNNNNNNNNNNNNNNNNNNNNNNNNNNNNNNNNNNNNNNNNNNNNNNNNNNNNNNNNNNNNNNNNNNNNNNNNNNNNNNNNNNNNNNNNNNNNNNNNNNNNNNNNNNNNNNNNNNNNNNNNNNNNNNNNNNNNNNNNNNNNNNNNNNNNNNNNNNNNNNNNNNNNNNNNNNNNNNNNNNNNNNNNNNNNNNNNNNNNNNNNNNNNNNNNNNNNNNNNNNNNNNNNNNNNNNNNNNNNNNNNNNNNNNNNNNNNNNNNNNNNNNNNNNNNNNNNNNNNNNNNNNNNNNNNNNNNNNNNNNNNNNNNNNNNNNNNNNNNNNNNNNNNNNNNNNNNNNNNNNNNNNNNNNNNNNNNNNNNNNNNNNNNNNNNNNNNNNNNNNNNNNNNNNNNNNNNNNNNNNNNNNNNNNNNNNNNNNNNNNNNNCUUCUUCUUCUUCUUCUCAUCCUCCUCCUCCUCCUCCUCCUCCUCCUUCUCCUCCUUCGCGGCAGCCCCGAUCUACCCCGAAAUAGAGGGUCCGGCAAGCAAGGACGGAUCCUCAUCCUCGUCCAAUGGCCUUAGUAGACAAACCUAUAAGAAAAGAGAAAAGGUUAGCACUGUGUAAGUUAAGAGCAAGAUGGUAAUUAUUUAGGAAAAAACCUCACCAUGAGAACGGUCCUCCCAUUUGCCCUUCAAAAGCGCUCGGAGUAUGGAAUCUGCUUGCAGAUCCCCUCGAUCCAAUCCUUGAAUCGGGGAAUUGCAUUAGGAUCUUGGGAGACAGUUGCACAACAACAAACACAAGCAAUGAGAGAAGGAAUAAAAUGAUGUGAAUACUCAUGGAAGAUAAUAAUUACGAGAUGCAUUUCAUCUCUCGGGGAAGGGCAAAAACUCGGGAGGGAUCAGGUCUUCAGUUUUCACCGGAACGAAUCUACCAUGCUAGACUCGAUCUCAGUCCUCGUUGAUGCUUGCGAAAGGAGCCUUCCUUGCUCGGAGAACGAGCUUGAUCAGCCCCCCUUGAAUAAUUUGGGACUGUAUAUGCGGAGUAAAUGGUCAAGGGUAAACCCUAGGGCUUCGGUAUUGUUCACGAAAUAGCGUAAGAGGAUCACGAUCCCUUAAAAAGAUGGGUGUAUUUGCCCAAGGCAUACCUCGUACCUUUUGCAGAAAGCAAGAACUAUGGGUUCUUCCAGGGUGAGCGUGAAGGGGUAAAUGUAAACACUUAAAUACCCUUCACAUGAGUAGUGAUGUCGUUAUUGGGCCUAGGGGUGACCACAUCCUUACCCUCCCAAUUACAAUGUGCUCGGACUAUAGAUAAGGUUUCUUUAGUGACAGAGCAUAUAUAUCUCCAUGCUCCCUCGCCUCGGUCCUGUUGACUAGAGGCCUUCUCGGCGUGGAAGUCAUUCCUGAUAGCAGCCCCCAGGAAUGAAGCUCUUCAUAGGGGGCUCCUAAGCCACUUCGGGAACGACCACCUUGGCAUCUGUGGUUGGGUGGGAAUAUAAAGGAACGGCUUGCUGAGGCACUGACUUGGAGGUUUUUGCCAUUGUAAUAUCGGAAAUAUGAAGGUUUGAAGAAGGAUAUGAAGGUUUGAAGAAAAAUAUGAAGAUUUGAAGAUGGUAUGAAGGUUUGGGUUGAAGGUUCAAAGAAUUUAUAUGAGGAUUGAGGAUGAAGAUAUGAAAGUUCAAAGGGAAAUGUAUGAAGAUUUGGGGAAGUUAAAUAUCGUUUGUGAGUUUGAGGGUAAAAUCUAGAAUCGGAAAGUGAAAGAACUGAAAAAGGUCGAAGCUUUUAUAGGGGAAAAAUAAUCAAUGCGCAACGUUUCGCAUUCGAAGGCAGCCAUUCCGUGACUAACACGUGUCCGAAGUCAAAUGAUACGACUGAUGGGACGUUUUGAUUUACUUUUCACCUCAAUUUUAACGUACGAAGGAAGGAACCUGGGUUCAUCUGUCAUUUCCCAUCAUUUCGGCAAACCUAUUAUCUGAAAAACGAAGGGACUAUCUGUAUACGGGUAAAAUUAGAGAUAAUACAUACCACGAUUUCCCGGUGAAGAAAAUGGAAGAAGGGCACGGAUGCACGAGAUUGAAAUCGAGGUUGAGAGCCCUUCAUAUCGAGAUCCAUGAAAGGUGAACGAUGUGCUCAUCAUCGAACCUGAUGAAGCGACACGUUCCAGACCCAGGAUGACUUUUAGACCUCGGAAAAUACGAUAAAAAGUUACACUCGACGGAUAGAGGGCAGUGAUAUUCGCACCCAACCAAAUAUCACGGCGCAGAUCUCGCUUGAUAUAUGUUACGGAUCAGUAAUUAACGAGAAAGGGAGAUUUUUACCCUUUUUAGACUUAUAUUAGGGAUGCAACUCUCCUACUAUAUAAAGAGAAGGUUUUUCUUUUGUAAGAAACAUUGUAACAGGCGAAUCAAAGCAAUACAAAUUCAUUUUCUGCCUUUUAAUUACUGUUAAAGUUGUUGUUCACUUAACCUGCUUUUCAUUCAUGACUGAGCUCGAAUCGAGGAUCUGAUCGAGGACGAGGUCAUUGUUUCAUCUAAGUUCAGGCUUGGCCAUAAUGUCACAAUUGGUUUGAUCGUUUAAUUCGUCUUUAAUUUAUUUAUCUAAUAUACUUAAUUAUUUGUAUUGAAUCAAACCACAUAUCCUUAAAACCGCUUACAAAUUUAAUUGUUAUCCGAUUUAAGGGUAAACAGAGGUCAAGGUAAUUUUUUGUUAUUUAUUAGAGAGACGAUAUCUUUUUAGGUCAAGGUAAGUUUUUGUUAUUUUGUAGAGAGACGAUAUACAAUAUUAGUAUUAAACUGAAUUAGUAUCAGUGCAUGCAUAUAUAUGCUUCGUAGAGCGUCUAAACUGCUAAGUUGAACCACAAUAUUACAAGAGUUGGAAGAAAAUGUCAGUUGGUGGAUCGUACCCAAUGAUGUCAUAAUUUUUUAUUUAAAAACAAUUCAACUUUAAAGUUUUUACUUUAUUUUUAGAUGAUUUAUAGGCACAUAAAUAUCUCUAACUUAUUUUAGACCACAAGUUAUUUUUCUAUCUUACUUAAAUUUGUGUCGAGUCAAAUAUUGUCACAUAAAUUGGUAAAUUGGGUUGGAGAGCGUAGUACUUUAGUAUAACAUCUUCUUUUAAGUUCCUCCUUUGCAAGUAAAUCAGAGCGAAGUUUUUUGAACUAAUUUCGAGUUGAUUAGAUCUCUUCAUCCUCAAUUUUGUCAAGCAUCUCCAUUUUCUCACUGAUUAGUGUUAAGUGUAUUCAUAAAAGACAUAAAUCUAUCAUUCCUUAGUGUAAAUAUAUCAUGCUGACAAAAAAAAUCACUUCUCUCGAUUCCUUUUUUUUUUUUGUUGUAGAUCACUCAAUGUAAUACUAGCAUUUAAAAAAAAAAAGGAUAUGGUUUGGGAUUCAAUCGAACGACUAGAAUCAAGACUCGCCGACACGUUCUAUUAAAUGGACCCAACCCAAUGAUGACGAAAGGUCCAAUCAAGUAAUAAAUCAAAGGACCAUUUGACUCAGCUGAUUUAAUUUCUCUCUGAAGAUAAUAAAGAAGUGUAUUACAUGAGGGAUUCUUGUGAUUCACAUUUCACAUCAGAAGCCCACUCCCACUAAUUGUCGACACUCAACGCUCCCUGUGUAAAUAUCAAUCAACUUGUGUUGUUGCGGAUUUCACAAUGGAUAUUCUUCCAUUUGUUUAUCAUAAAUAUUGUGGUUAAUUGAAUCAUAAUGAUAAUAAUAUUCACAACAAAUAUAUUUUCUCCUUUUCUUUUGGAAUAAUAAGAUGCAGUUUUUGACCACUAUGGUGUGUUUGGUAGGAAGGAAAAUAUUUAUGAUCUCAUUUUUCUCCAAUUAAAAGAAAAUAUUUUUCAAAAUUCUUUCUCAAUCUUUUUCAUCCUAUUUCUCAUCCUCAUCAACCCACCCCCACACCCACCCACCCAACCGCCCUACUCACCCCACCCUAAAUAAAAAUAUUUUUAAUACUAUUUUCUUUUCAUUUUAUAGAUAGAUUUUUUUUUUGUAUUUCAAUAAAUGAGUAUUUUUUACAUGAUAUAAAAAAGUAUUUUUUUCAUUUCAACAAAAAAAAUACUUUCUUUUCAUAGAAAAAAUAUUUUCUUUCGUUUCAACAAUAAAAAAAUAUUUUCUUUUUAUGAUUUAAAUCUUUUUNNNNNNNNNNUACCAAACACACCCUAUAUCUUCCGUAUUACAUACACUAAAAUAGUACACGUAACAUUCCAUUCGUCUUGGUAACUUAUCUUUUACCUAGUAUUUGGUUUGCUUUUUUGUAUAUAGUCUUACUUUGUCUUGUUCAUGUCGGACUAUUUCAUCAAUUUCAUUUUAAGUGUUAAUAUUGAGAAAAAAUCCAAUAUAAUAUAUUAUUAUAUUAUAUUAUAUUUGAACUGCUUUCCUACUCAAAUAAUUUAUUUUAUUGUUAAUUUUAAUAUAGAAAAAUAUACCUAAUUAUUAAAGAACAACUAAGAAAAAUUUUAAGAAUAUAAAUGUGUGAGAAAAAAUAGGAAAAAAUGUUAGUAAAAGCCAAUAUCACUAAUGAUUUUGCAAACAUAAAGAUCUAAAGGUGGAAUGUCAUCGAUGUUUUUACUCUUUGAAAAUAAAACCACUUGGUGGAUAAAAUUAUAAUCACGGUUAAAUAUUCAAACAUGAGAUGAACUAAUAUUAAGAAUCUAAAUCAACAGAAAAUGAAUUAUAUUUCAUGUUAAAACCAAAUAAUUAAAUCUUUCAAUUAUUUAUUUAGCAAGAGAAUACAAUUAAAUUAUUUUUUAAAUUCAUCAUAUGAGAGAAAUUAUUUUUCAAGUUGAAAAAAAUAUAAUAUUAAGAAGAUCAUACAAGUAUUUGAGGAAGCACAAUCUAAGCUAAAUCCUGAACAAGAAUAAGUUUUCAAGAUUAUAUUAUAAAAACUGACUCGGGUAUAGCGGGAUUAUCUUUUGUAGAUGCCUCCGACGGAAUCAAAAUAAUAUUUCUAUGUCAUGUAUUAUUUGCAAAUAUCAAAUCAAGAGGCAUGAUAUUAUUAGCAGUAAGAACAAGUGGUUUACCAACAACAAUUUUAUUAUGAGGUCGUACAACUCACUUUAGAUUUGAUAUACCUCUUGAAAUAACUGAAAUAACCAUCACAAAUAUGUCAAAUCAGAUCAAUAGUGCUAAAUUUAUAAGGAAAACAAAAGUUAUGGGAUGAAGCGAAUUUGGCUAAGCGUCAAACGAUCAAAAUAAUUACCCAUUGUUUUAGAGAUAUAUUGGAUAUCGAGAACCAUUUGGUAAAAACGUAAUAGUUUGGGAGGUGAUUUCUGUCAGAUACGAUCAGUAGUUCCAAAAUUGACCAAAGCAGAAACUGUAAAGCUAGCUUUCCAAAAUUAUACUUAUGACCUCAAAUAAAAAAUAUUCAAAUGACAAGAAAUAUAAAAUUAAUAACAAAUCCAACAUUCAAUGACUUCUUGCUUCCUGUCGGAAACGAAGAAGAGCAUCAAAUAAAAGAUGAUUUGGUUCUUCUAGAACACUUGGUUAUUGUAAUGAUCCGGCUGGUCGUUUUGAGUAUCUGCACUUCGCUCGGUAUUUUGAGGUCUCGAGUAUCUUCGCAUGAUGUAUUAUGACUUGUGUAAGUCGUCGGUAUUGGUUUUCAAGUUAUCCGAAAUCGAUUUGGAAGAAUGAACUUAAAGAUUUAAGCUCUAAGUUGGAAGAGUUGACCAAGUUUGAUUUUUUAGCAUUUAACCUCGGAAUACAAUUCCGUCAAUUCCGAUAGCUCCGUUGGGUAAUUUUGGACUUAGGAGCGCGUCCGAACUGUAAAUUGGAGGUCCGUAAUUGAAUAAGUCUUGAAAUGGCGAAAGUUGGAUUUUUGGAAAGUUUGACGGGGAGUGGACUUUUUGAUAUCGUGGUCGGAUUUCGAUUUCGUCAGUUCGAAUAGGUCUGUAAUGACAAAUGUGACUUGUAUGAAAAAAUUGGGAUCAAUUGCACGUGAUUUAAUAGGUUUCAGCAUCGGUUGUAGAAGUUGAAGUUUCAAAGUUCAUUGACUUGGACUUGAGAUACGAUUUGUCGUUUUGAGGUUGUUAUGCGUGAUUUGAAGCUUCGAGUAGGUUCGUUUUGUCAUAUAGAACUUGUCCGCAAAAUUUAGAUCCAUUUGGAAUUGAUUUGAUAUGGUUCGGACACUUGGUUGUGAUUCUAGAAGUUCUUAAAGUUUAGUUUGAUCCUCAUGCAUUUAGGCGUCCGAUUCGUGGUUUUAGAGGUUAUUUUGAUGAUUUGAUCGCACGAGCGAGUUCGUGUUGUGUUUCUGGACUUUGGUUCAUGGUUAGUUUGGAUCCUCAAGGGCUCGGGUGAGUUUCGGAAUGAUUUUUCAUAAACUUUGAUUUUUGGUAAUGGUAUCAUCACAGUUGCGAUGUUUUUGUCGCAAAUGCGACAACCGCAAUUGCAAAGCAGCCAUCGCAUUUACAAGGUCUGGGCUGCUGGGAAAAUUUGCAUUUGCCAAGAACCCUGCCGCAUUUGCGAAAUGUUGGUCUUCGUAUUUGCGAAGUAUUGGGUCGCAAAUGCGACCUUGACAGGAAAACUUCUUGAGAGUCGAAUAGGACUCGGAUUUGAAAACAAAAUAUAUAUUUGAACUCGUGAGGCUAUGGGUAGUCAAGACCUACCAUUGGACCCGGAUUUUUACCUGGCGGGCCAGGGGUUUGACUUUUUAGAAAUCUAAUAAAAAUCACAGUUUUAUUAAUUAAAAUUACUUUCUCUUUCAUUGUGUGAUGUAUUCAAGUCAUCGUUGGAUAGAUUGAGCCGAGCGGAGGCGAAUUUGUAAAGGAAAAGGCUAAAUUUAGUAUUGAGUUAGCCGAAUUGAGGUAAGUGUCUUGCCUAACUUUGUUGAGGGAAUUUUUCCUCCUAUUUGACAAUGUUUUCUACAUGCGGGGGUGAUACAUAUAUGAGGUGACGAGCGUAUAUAUAUGUGCCAGGGUUAAUCAUGCUUGGGGGUAGAUUAUGUAUAAUUAUGUCUUGUACAAUUACGUGACCUUCUUGCUCCAUGCCUUACUUGACUCUUAGAUACUAAGAACAUAGUAUUAAAUGUUGAAAAUCAAGAUUUAAAUUAUUAUAACUUGAUCAAAUUUGAUGGAAUUCUAAGAAUACAUUUAUGUGUCUAAUUCGGUUAUUCCUAUGCGUAGUCAUUAAUACAUUGCUACAGCCGAUCUUCUAGAGAUACUAGAUUCUAUACUUGUGUUGUUGAUCAUUUGGAGAUUUGUGGAAGUACUUGAAUAAUACGGUUCUUGAGGGUUUAUUGAAUCAUCGUUGGCUUGGAAAGUUGUGAUUGGGAUUUGUUUGGAAUAUUCGUUUAAACACUCUCCUUGAUGUUAUUUAUUCCCCAUGUGUUGUUUGUCAUUGAUAUACACAUGUUUGGUAAGGAAGAGUGUAAAGUACGAAGGGUGAUGCCGUGCCAUAGUUAUACAUUAUCAUGUGAGGGAGAGUGUAAAGCACGAAGGGUGAUGUCGUGCCAUAUUAUUUGAGAGUAAAAGCACGAAGGGUGAUGCCGUGCCAUAUUAUUUGAGAGUAAAAGCACGAAGGGUGAUGCCGUGCCAUAUUAUUGGGAGUAAAAGCACGAAGGGUGAUGCCGUGCCACAUCAUUUGAGAGUAAAAGUAGGAAGGGUGAUGUUGUGCCAUUUCAUUUAUAUUGUUAUGCUUUUAUGUUAUCGUGAGAUCAUGGCACGAUGGGUGUUUUCGUGCAGGUGAGGAUGAGGGACAUGCAUCAUGUUGUGAUAUCUGUUUUUCCGUGUAUAUGUUCACGUCUUUAUCUUGAACGGUUAUUGUCGUAUUUAUAGACCUCGUGUGACUUGUUAUUAUUGUCCUGUCCUUGCUCUCUAUUUCAAUCGUUGUUGUGUUGUACAUAUCUUGUACUUGUUUUAUUUGCAAAACACAUGCCUAUUUCCUGUUGUUAUAAUUACCUCCAUGUCGUGUCUAUUCUGUUGCAUUUUAGUACAAGCCCUUUUUCUAUGUUAGUUAUUCAUGCCUCUGCUUGUUAACUUGUAAAGAUCAUGUGAUUCCUUCUUAUUUGUUAUAUCUGUACUUAGGCCUCCAUCAUGCUAGUUAAUUGAAGUUGAUAUUCCUUAUUUUUCAAUUGUUGUCAUUACUCACAUGCUUUCCGCCUAGUCUUUUAUUGUUGCCCACAUGUAUAUCCUCGUUCAUUAUUGCUACUUGCGUAUUUCCUACUUUGUAAUUCCUAUUUUCGAUAUUUAUGUCAUCUAGUUGGUUCUAUUAUAAGUAUAUGAGGAUGAGAUAAAAGCACGAAGGGUGUUGCCAUGUAAUUAACUUGAUAUCUGAGUACAUUCCUCAUGCUAUGAAAGUUAUGAAGUGACUGUAGUGGUUUAUCAGUUUCAUUCUAAGGAAAGCGAUGGUCAAGGUAUUGUAAGAUGCUAAAUUGUGAUCACUGCUAGUAUUCGAUUAUUAUUUGCGUAUUCGUUUCAUGUAAUCUUUUCUGUUAUAGCGUGGUAUAACUCUAUUGUUGAUUUAUACUACAGGUUUUUAUCAGUGAGUAUCUUUUAACUAAAAAGCCUCGUCACUACUUCCACGAGGUUAGACGAGAUACUUACCAGUAUAUGGGGUCGGUUGUACUGAUACAACACUUCUGCACAUUGCGUGCAGAUUUUGGAGUGGAGCUGCAAGUGAUAUCGGGUGCUGACUUUGAAGAUGUUCAUGCAUUCUGGAUAUAGUUUCCACUUGUCCUUGGUAGCUUAGGUUGUGCUAAUCUCUUAAGUAAAUUUCAAACACAUCGUGUAAUUAUUUGUACUAGCUUUAUAAAUUCCAAGUCUUAGAAGGUCAUGGUUCGUACUACUAGUUCUUGGGUAAAUUUGUAAAUGUUCAGAUAAUUCUUCUCUAUUCUUACUAUAAUCUCAUUCAGAUUGUAUUUUCUGUUAGUGGCUUACCUAGCGGAUCGAGUUAGGUGCCAUAACGACUUGUGAUUUUUGGGUCGUGACAGUUAUCAACCCCAAUGGUAAUAGUAGUGCAUUUAAUAAAGAAAAUAUUUUCAUCAUUAGAUUAAAAUGCAAUUUGUGUAAAUUAUAUGAUAGAAAUUAAAGAGCUAUCUUAGCUAGCAAAAAUGAAUAUACUGAUCAACUAAAUAAAAGGUUGAUUGCUAUGUUUUAUGGUAAUGUUACACCCAAUGUUUCGUACGUAAAAGUAUGCCAUAAGUAAAUUAAUGGGAGCUCGGAAAUGAGAUGUUACAUCUCGCAUUUUCGUGUGUUAAAGUUUUUUCGUAAGUUAAUCGAUGUAAGUUUGGGAAUGAUAUUAUUUUGAGAUUAUAAAUAUUAUGCUAUUUCAAACAAGCGACAAGUAAAUUCGUGAAUGUGAAAGGGUAAGCUGUAGCGAUCCGGCAGGUCAUUUUGAGAAUUAAUGCCCCGAUCAUCUAUUCACUGCUUUCCCCGUAUCUAUUUCUAUUAUUGUGAAUUGCCGGGAUGGUUCAUCUUGAGUUUCGGAGUGUUUUGGGACACUUAGACCCUAAAUAAGAGCGUAAGUCUUAGAAUUUGGACCGUAGUCGGGGAAGUAUGAAGAUGUCUCCGGAAUAGAAUUACGUUGAUUCCGCUAGCUCCGUUGGGUGAUUUCGGUCUUAGAGGCAUGUUUGGAUUGCGUUUUGGAGGUCUGUAGCUCAUUUAGGCUUGAAAUGGCGAAAGUUGAUUUUUUGGAGUUUCGGCCCAACAGUGGAAAUUUUGACAUCAGGGUCAAAAUCCGAUUCUAAAAGUUGGAAUAGGUCCAUAGUAUUGAAUAUGACUUGUGUGCAAAAUUUGGGUUCAAUCGUACGUGUUUUGCUUGGUUUCGGUAUCAGAUGUAGAAUUUUGGAAAUUCAAGUUUUUAAGUUUGGAUUAGAGGGUGAUUCGUAGUUUUAGAGUUGUUUGAUGUGAUUUGAGUGAUCAACUAAGUUCAAAUGAUGUUUUAGGAUUGAUUGGUAUGUUUGGUUGAGGUUCCAGGGGCCUCGGGUGAGUUUCGGAUGCUCAACGGGUCAUUUUUGGACUUAAAGAAGUGGCAGAUUUUCUGGUGUUUUGUUGCAGUGAAAUCCUUCAUCGCGUUCGCGAGAGGAGUCUCGUGUUCGCGUAGAGCAUCUGGGAGAAGCAGCUAAGUGGUACUUUGCAUUCGCGAAGGUGUGGACCCUUUAGCCUACGCGUUCGCGACAUGGUCCUCGCGUUCGCGAAGGGUCUGCCAGUGUAAGCUAUGCGUUUGCGAAAGGACCCUCGCGUUCGCGAAAGAGGAAUUUGGGCCAGUGGGAUUUUUCUCAACGCGUUCGCGAAGAAGGACGCAUCUGGGCAGAAUUUAAAAAUCCAAAAUCGAGGGUUUGAGUUCAUAAUUUUAAAAAUUAAUAGAGAGCUCGGUAGAAGGCAAAAUUUGGAGAGAUUUUCGGAGGAAGUUUGUGGGUAAUGAUUCCUAACUACUUUUUUAUUAUAUCCCAUUAAUCUAAGCUCAAUUUCAUCAUUUAAUUUCGAAUUUGGGGUGAAAAUUUAGGGAAAAUUUUAGAAAAUCUUUAGGCCGAAUUUUGGGAUUUUGAUCGAUAUUUUGGUAUCGGAUUUGGGUGAAUUUGGUAUGGUUAGACUCGUGAGUGAAUGAGUGUUCAUAAUUUGUGAUUUUUACCUGAUUCCUAGAUUUUGGUCCGGGGAGGAUUUUUUGGCAUUUUCCUAUUUUCUUACCUUAGCUUUGAAUUAAUUAGUUAAACUAGUUGCUUGUAGUUUUAUUUACGUUAUGUAAUUAAUUUGAUUAGAUUUGGGCUACUUUGAGUUGGAUACUCGUGGCAAGAGCGUGAUAUCAGAUUGAUUUUGAGCUGGUUCGAGGUAAGUGGCUUGCUUAACCUUGUGUGGGGGGAAUUUCCCUUAGGAUUUUGGUACUGUUAUUAUAUGAAUGCCGUGUACGUGAGGUGAUGAGUGCGUACAUGUGCUAAUUGUUAAAAAACUCCGUUUUCUUUAAGUAAAUAUCUAUGUUUUUCCUUUAAUUGAACAAUACUAGUGUGUGAAGCCUCAUGUUUAGCUCAGGAAAGCAUGCUUAUGUGACUUAAUUGUCUUAUUUGCGUUAACUGCUUAUUUGGAUUCUGUGUAGCAUGUCUAGAGUAGGAAUUUCCUAUUUCUUGAUACGAACUUGAAUAGAACUGUCAAUUUCUUGUUAAGACUAUUGUGUAUUUACUUUGGGACUACGGAUCGGUAUUUCGAGAGAUCUCCCUGCACAUUUAUAUUUGGGACUAAGGGACGGUAUCCUGGGAGAUACCCCUGUACUAGAUAUUUACUUUGGGACUACAGAUCGGUAUCCUGGGAGAUUCUCUAUACAUUUACGUUUGGGACUACCAGACGUUAUCCUGGGAGUUCCCCCUGUUGUUAUCUUUGUGUAUUGAGUUAUUUCUUUAUGUGAUAUCAUCUUUAUUGACUGUUAGUAUUUUAAUUAUACUGUCACAUUUCAUACUGUUUUACCUUGUUAUAUAUAUAACCAGUAGGGCCCUGACCUGAUCUCGUCACUACUCGACCGAGGUUAGGCUUGACACAACUGGGUACCGCUGUGGUGUACUCAUGCCCUUUCUUGCACAUGUUUUUCGUGUGUAGAUCCAUGUUCUUCUGCUCAACCAUACUAUCCGUGAGGCGAGGUGAUUCGGAGACUUCGAGGUAUAUCUACCGCGUUCGCAGGCCUGGAAGUCCCUCUCUAUUCUCCCUUCAGUUAUAGACUUCUUGUAUUUUUCUUCGUUUAGACUUCUGGAGUUAGAACACUAUGUAUUUCUUUAGCUUGUGAUUCAUGCGAUUCCGGGUUUUGGGAGUGCUAUGUUCAGUCGAGAGUGUUAUUAUUGUAUAUGCCGAGCGACAUUUUAAACUCUUUUAUUAUAGUUACUUGUUAGUUGGCUAGUUUUGUUUCUUUAAUUCAUUUUCCGCAAAUUGUUAGGCUUGACUAGUAGACUAGGUGCCAUCACGAUAGUUCACGGAGGGAGAACUUGGGUCAUGGCAUAAGCGAAUCGAAGAAAGUGAAUUUCGGCGAAGUUUGACUUUUUGAGAUAAAUACGAUCCAAGCUACAAUACCCCGUAUUUAUGGAUUAGUGUCAUACAAGGUACCACAUGACCAUGAUAGUAAGAUGUAUAAGGUAUGUUAAAAGUGAGUAGUAUUUUAAGUAAUUUGAGAUAAUUCUUAAUUAUGCAGGUAAUUAAUUAACUAUUGGGUAAUGAGAGAUUACCUAGUUAAUUAAGGAUUUAUUGGGUGAUUAAUUAAGCACAUUUGGAUAAGUAUUAAACUCCAAGAUGGCAGCAAAUUAAGCCCAAUUUUAUGACUCAUUAGUCAUUAGGAUAGGUGGCACAUUAAGGGGUCUUUGGGCAAGACUAAUCCCUAAAAAAUGAGGCCCACCUAAAAAUUUAGUAUAACUUUUCUAGUUCAAAAAUCAUUCUCCUAACCUCUUAAAAGACUUUCAGCAAAGGAGUGUAGUAACGUUAUUGACAAAAACAUUCUGCCAAGGAAUAUAGCAACAUUAUUGACAAAGAGUUUCAGCCAAGGAACGUAGCAACGUUAUUGAGAAAGAGUUUUAGCCAAGAUUAUCUUUGCAUAGCAACGCUAUUGCUUCGAGCAUUUUAUACGUAUUUCUCCUACUCCAAUUUUACCGUCACGUAUUUUGUUGCAAUUAACGUGUGUUAGUGGAAUUGUCAAGAAAAUCGACUCAGGCAUGUUAAGGAUAUCACUUCUUUCUUUUGGUGUGAUGUAUAUGACACAAACGAAACAAGAAAAAUCCACAACUUCCAUAAAUGACUCUAUUCAUAGAAUUAUUAGAGGUGCCUAUGUUCUUGAAUUUCCAUGUGUCCUAUUAUUUUAUAAUCUAUUCAUGAGCCUCAGAAAAAUACGUAAAUUGAUUUUAUGAUAUUAAUCAGAGGCAUAAUGGUCUUAUGACACUCCGAAAGAUUUUAUUGACGUACUUCUCAUGAAUUGCAUUCAUUUACAUUGACCCAUGACCAGAUGGAGUUAUAUACGCGUAUAUAUGUAUAUUAUAUGCAUAUGGGAUAUGGAAAAAGGUUACUGCAUUAUAUACGCACAACCACCUGAUCAGCUGGUAUACGUUGAUGAUUUUACCCACAGUGGCCGAGAUGAUGUGAUGAGAUGCCCUCAUAGGCUUGAUGAUGUUAUGAAUACAUGUACUAUGCAUGACAUGACAUUGAUACGCAUAUGCAUGACACUAUAAGUAUUUCAUGAUUUACAGAGUUAUCCAGACUUACGGGUUAAGUCAUUUACUCCAUGUUUCUUUCAUGUCUUUUAUGUACUUAUUUGUGUGCCUUACAUACUCGGUAUAUUAUUCGUACUGACAUCCUUUUUUCCUUGGGACGCUACGUUUCAUGCCCGUAGGUCCCAAUAGAUAGGUCGAAAGUCCUCCAAGCAGGCUAUCAGCUCAGCGGAAGAUGUUGGUGUGCUCCAUUUGCUCCGGAGUUGCUUGUUUGGUCAGUAUGAUUUAGACAUGUAUUGUUUGGUAUGACGGGGCCCUGUCCUUUACGAUAAUAUAUACUCUUAGAGGCUUGUAGAAAGAUGCCAUAUAUACGGAUGCUUGUAUGGCCUUGCCGACCUAUGUUUUGAGUUUACAAAUAAUCAUGUUGGCCUUAUAGGCCCGUAUGUUACAUGUAUAAGUUUUUAUAUCAGGUUGGGUCGUCCUAUAUUGAAUAUUUUCCUAUAUUUAUUCUGGUUAGCCCAUGACGGCCCGUUUGGCCCAUUUGCCAAUGAAAGUAUGAUAAGAAAUAUAUGUUAUGUUGGUACUCGGUUGAGUAAGGUACCGGGUGACCGUUGCGGCCCAUAAGUAUGGGUCGUGACCGGUAAAAAUAAAAUAUUUUUCAGUUUUGACUCAGUAGAAGAUGAUACCAACAAUAACUACCAAGAAGAAUACUUAAAUACUUUAAUACCAAAUGGCCUUCUUCCGUACAUGCUUUUGUCAAGUUCAUUAUUUCUUACGUAUGUUAGUGUCACCAUAUAUAUAAUAGACUAAGUUAAAAUUGAUCUUCUAUUGCAUAUAUGUUUAUGCACGUCAUGCUACUGAAAAUUUAGAUCCGCUAAAUAGCUUAUGUAAUAGUACACAUAUGGUAUAUAGAUUAUUUAACGACAACGUCAUACAUGCAGAACUUAUGAUACUGGUCAAUGUGCUUCUAAGUAUGUGUUUAUCCCCAAAUUCAACUUUUGUCUUCCGAAACUAAAGAAUAUCCUUUUAAAUUUGUGUGAAAAUAAUUUUCAUUAUGUUUAUGUUUUAUAGUUUUAAUAAAUAAAACACAAUGACAAACAUCCUAAAUGUUGAACUAUAUUUACCAUAAUAUGUUUUCUUACACGAAUAACUAUAUGUUGCACUUUCAACAGAGAUAUCAAUAUUAACAAUAAGAGUUUUGGUUGUGGAAUAGUAACCAAAGCAUUAGAAGGCAAUAUACACAAAAAUAUAGCGCAUAUAAAGAAGUGUUUGGCAAGAUACCAUCACGUUAGAUACCUUUAAACUACAAUACAUAAUUAUCUAAUUAACAUGGCUAAACUUUUCCAUUUUCAGAUAUUACUAAUAUCAUAUUAGAAUGGCAGUUGGAAGGAGAAAGACAAUAAACCAACAAAUAAAAGGCAAGCAAAGAAACUGUUCGACUGAAUAUACCUAACAAGUUUGCCGACACUCCUCAAUAUUCAACAGAUGCCAAAAUAUGGGUCCUAAUCAUAAUGCCGACCUUUUUUAUUGCUAUCCAUACUUUAAUAUAGUAUAGUUAUGAAAAAGGUUACUAUCAAGCAAUUCAUGUGGGAGAUGAGCUGGAAUUUCGGUUCAAAGAUACUCAAGAUCUCCAUUUGUGAUUUCAAACUUUUACAUUUUUUUUUUGGGGAGAUAAUAAUAGUUUUCAGUGUAUUGUAUCGAAGCCAUAUGAAGUUAAUUAGCUAGCGAUGUCUUUAAUUCCAACAGAAUGGAUAAUGAAAUAAAUUGCUAUUGAUAUUUUGAUUUUUUGGUUCCUUUUAUUUUCUGCUAUUAAUGAGAUAAUAUAUUUUUAUUUUAUGCUUCUUAUGGGAUCAUAAAUCUACAUAUAACGUGACAUUGGUGGAAGAUUACAAAUUCUUAAAAAGAAAAAUGUUAUGUUGCUCAAUUUUCUUUCUUGAUAGCAGACAAAAUUCAAGAACAAAGACAGAACAAUAUUAUAAAAUGAGAGCAAAAUAUAGCUUUUUUGUGUACAGAAUAUUUCUAUCCCUAUAACGGAUGAUAAUCUUUUUAUUUAUAGCUCUAUUCAGUGAGACAAGAUCCCCAAAUUAAGUUUUUCUUGAAUGAGAAUAAAACUGUCAUUAAUGGAUGCAUAAUGAUUGGUUAUAAAUGCAGAUAUUCUUUGCAACUGCUGCUCAUUGAAUAAUAUUCGAUGACAAUGCUUUGAAUCUUCGUUACUGGCUACUCUAUCUUCGGAAUUCGUUCAACAUCGAUUGCAUGCUUACAUCCGGUGAUGAUUGUUUGCUGACUCAUGUGCCACCUGUAUUUAGUUCUACGUGUCACUUUGUCAUUCAUCCAACUGUCAUUAACCUAUUUUACCCCAUACAGAUACUCCCCUUACUUUUCGGUAACACAACUUAGUGUUACCGGAAAGUAGAUAAGAAUUCUUUUCUUGGCGAAAAAAUUCCUGAACGGUCUCUGACACUUGAAAGGGCACAUGUCUUCUCGCAUUUAAUGACCCAAACAUGUGUUGCUCCAUGAUUCAGCAAAUAUUUUCACUGGUUUUCGAGGUACUCAUGACUAAGAUUUUUGUUAUCUAUAACUUCUCCCCUACUCAUCAUUUUUACUCUUUACUUUCACAACUCCCUCUUCUUCCUUGAUUCUCCUUAGAACCAUUCUGUGACAUUCAACUUUCUUAGUAAAACUUUUCUUCAAACAUAUCUUCAAGCAUUACCAUCCUCGGAAACUCUGGCCUUUUCUUCAAAAGACCCCCAAAGAAAACAAAAACAAAGGAAGUUGAAGCUGAAUCUGAACCUCCCACCCUGAACUCCAUCAUACCUCUUAAACUUAAUACGAAAUCAGACCUUCAAUAACAGAAAGCACCUUCAAAUUCUAAAAGUGAUAGGUUCUGGCCUAUUCGGAGGAACCCUUCUUCCAUUCGUCCUCCUAGUGUCCUUGUCAUGAAGGAGGAAUGCCAUUGGAACAAGGUUGAAAUCCUCACCCCCAAAAAAGGUAGAAAGAGUUACCUUCUCCAAGCCAGGUUUCAUAUAUUUUUACACAUACCCUUUCACUUUGGGCCAUUUAACUUUGAGAAUGGGUGAAGGAACUGACCCAAUAAUCUUAGAGUUAUCCCAUCGAUACCAAGUAUGUUUGGCAUAAGUAGGCCUAUCUGUGUGGCGUACGGUGGUUUGCCACCACCAAUGGUGUUAUGAGACCGAGGAAACCCUAACUCUCGUACAUAUAAUGAACCUCUACUCCAAAAAGAUUUUUCGUGAGGGUAUGCUAAAUCUUAGAAAAUGCGGUGAUCAUGCUCUUCUUACUAGCAUUGACAACGACACUAACCGUGGAUGGAUGGAACAGUUUGUUAUUAUCGCUACCAGGGAUAUCAUCCUAACCACAAUACCAGCUUUUCCCAAAUCAUGAAAUCUUUUUCGUAAGUUUUUCGGGUAUUUGCUUCCUUUCCUUGUAAAAAGAAAUCUUCUUUCUUUGCUAACUUUUUAUUUUCUUUAUUCCAGCCACUCACUAGGAGCUCCAGCGGUUCAAGAUUUGGACCGAUGGGUACAAAAAAUUCUGAAUAUCACUAUACCAGAAUUCUAAAGGUGAAAGGGAAUGACUCCCAAAUACGGGUGGAAAUCCAAAAAUCAUGAUAAAUAAAACUCUUCUUCCUUUAUUUCAACCGUUUAAUACAUUCUGCAAACAAUUUAACUACCUUAUAUUGCCAAACAGGACUUCCGAACGGAUCCAUUGUGUGCCCCGACAUCGAAGCUCUUGAUGACCCAAUGGAAGCUCAACGAGUAUUUUAGAGUGCCCUUAACCAGAGGAGGGCUCGUGAAUGUACUCGUGCCUCUACUAAAGGUGCCUCCUCCCGAAGUCUCUAGUCAAAAAAUAAGCAACCAAAAAGGAAACGUAUCUCCACGGUUGGGACUCAGGAGAAGAGAAUAAUAAAACACCAACCGGACCAACCACAAUGGUCCUUGAUGAUGAAGAAGAGGUUGAUGGUGAAGAGGCCCCCUUUCAAAAAAGAAAAAGAUCUUCAUCAAUUCAACCGGAUGCUUAGCCGGGGGAGUUUCAAACUCUACCUCCAAAGGAAGUUCAAGAACUCUGGGAGGGGGAGGGGGUGAAAUAGCAAUAUCCGAAAAUGCUACAUCUCAUUUUUGGAUUCCCACAAUUGCUUCUGCUUAAAGGAUUUGAAUUCCUGACCUUCCUCCAUUGUCAACUUUUGAGCCGAUAAUAGCUUCUUCUCCAUCCACACCAACUACUUCUUCUCCACUGACCCCAGCUGAACAAGUAGGGAAUGCCCCUUCUCCACAGUCUCCCAACCAAGAAAAUUUGAGAAAUACUUAUUUGGUACCCACUCAAGACCCUCAUGGAAAACAAAGUGCCAUUCUUUCGAUUUCGAAGGAGUGCCAUAUACUUUCCAAGACGGUGGAUCUCGCCAAUUACCUGAAGUCGUUGGGCUCAGAGAAAGAUUGGAGAAAGUAGGACACUCUUUUUGUGAAGUGUCUGAUAAACAAUAACAUGCAUUGUUCGGUGCAGGUAGCAAUCUAACUUCCUCCUAUCUUCUUUUAAUUUGCACUUCGCAUUAAUUACUUUAGGUCUAACCUUUUUCAUGUCAACCUUAUUGCUUCCAAGGGCCUGCAAAGGUUGAUUUUGGACAAGCAAGAGAUUUCUUCAGAACGAGAUCAACUUUUGGUUGAAGGAAUUAGCUUACCGGGCGCCUCUCAGUGCUGGAGGCAAAAAUUGCUCAAAUAGAUGACCUCAAGGCCCGAUUCCAGCAGUCCAAACAAGAUAGAGUGGCUCACAGCUUGGAAUCCGCCCAGCUACAUGAAAACCUUACAGACCCAAAGCCUAAAUGUGUUGAACUUCAUGAUAUUGUGACUGUUGCUGCCGAGCGCGAGUCUGUCUUUAUGGAACAAGUUAAUAACUUAGAGGCUAUCUUACGCUCCAAAAUUGAGGAGGCCAAUGCUGCCAAGGAGAAUAGGGCGAGAAUGGAGGAAAGAUUCAAAAGGACCAUGGAGCAGAAUCAACUCCAUUCAUUAACCUAUGUCGAGCUGGACUCCAAAAUCAACAUUAUUAAAGCUGAAAAUGAAAAUCUCUAAUCCAAGAUUGAAAAAUUCCGAGCUAAACUCUAAGACCAAGAGGAUCCACUCGUCUUCGAGAAAACCUACACCAUUUAUUAUACGAAGAGGAAGACCUUGGAGGAUGCUAAAGAUGGAAUUUCUAACAUUGAUGAAUAUAGUGCUAAAGCACAGGAGCUGGAUACAACUACUCACAAGAAUCUCCCUACUCGGCCCAUUACAUCUGAUUCUUUGAAUACUAACUCCGAGUAAUCGGGAACCGAGGGAGAGACUGAAAAAGAUGAAGGCCUCUAAUCGGAAGUGGAACAACCUUCUCCUAAUAAAGAAAACGAAGGCUUUUCUCUCCCUUUGGGUUCUGGCAGCAAGAACUGAUGUAGUUUUCAUUACUUCUUGUAAUUGUGACAAAACUUUCCACUAGUUUGGCAAUUUAUUUAAUAAAAGAAACCAUUUACUUAAGUAUUGUGCAAGAAAAUAUUCUUUUACAUUAACUGACAAAGUUUCAGGAAUCUUUUCACAUCCGAUAGCUUUUGAUUCCAGGCAUAAACACUUCCAGAAUCUACCUUUUACUAUGAGGGUUUCAUAAGAGAGGGCCCUCGUAUUUACGAUGACAAUGUCUCAUGUUCAUUCCGGCACAACCAUUUAAAGUUUUUGUUAACACUCAAAUGAUAAAAUAAAUUAACUUAUCAUUCAGGAAAGAAUAAUAUAAAAAUAAAAGGACUUUGAUUUAUUCCCUCUAUCUUUAAAAGUAUAUUUACAUAAACAUUCAUUUGCUUAAGUAAAUAAAGGUUCCAAUACAUGUGGCUAACUUGUACAACUUAUUUCUGUGAGGCUGAUCAUGUAGUCACCGGCCCUGAUAAGAUAUUGAUCCUGGUUCUACUGGUCCCUGUCUUUAUAACACUUUUACUGCUUUGAUAUGUAUUAUUCCCACCAAUGUUCAGAUUCUAAGUGUGAGAAUUAGAACACUGAGGUCUUGCAUUCGUCGAUGACAUAUCGUAGUAUCUUUACAUUAUUGCCUUAUUAAUAGAAAUAACUUGGGGAUGGUUAAAUAAUCUACUUCCAGAUGUUAACAAGCCAAAGAUUACUUAACCAUCCACAAGUUGUUUGCCUCACGAGUUGAUCUACAUAAAACUAUUUCUGGAAGUCCCUCAUUUGUCGACGACCCUUCCUUCAUAGUAUGCUUUAUAUUGUUGCCUCAUUAAAAACCUUGCUAGAAAAAUAUAAUUGGGAUAAAAACUGGUCGAAGAGAAAAGGAGUGUAGAGCAUACUUUUAGUACCAGCAAGGAUCUUUAGCAAUAUUACCUUUUGAGGUGGGUCAUAUUCCAAUUGCUUGGCAAUUUGACUCCAUCUUGAUCUUCCAAUUCAUACGAACAUUUACCAGUUAUAGCUGAAAUCUGAUAAGUUCUUUCCCAUGUUGGUCCCAGCUUCCCAACAUUAACGUUUCAAGUACUUUGAGUGACUUUUCUUAGGACCAAAUCCCCAACUUUGAAAUAUCAUAGAUUCUCUCUGCGGUUAAAAUACAUUUGCAUCAUUUGCUUUUGUGCCAUUAUCCUUACAUACGCCAGAUCCCCAUGCUCUUCAAGCAAAUCUAAUUUAUCCAGCAAUGAUUCAUUGUUUGCUUUUUCUUUUGCUCGGAAAAACCCUAUGUUCAGUUCCCCCACUUCCAUCGGUAUCAAAGACUUUUAAUUGUAUACAAGUGAAAAGGGUGUUUUAUACGUGCUCGACUUUGUCGUGGUCUGGUAUGCCCAUAACAUACCCGGUAGCUCAUCUGGAAACUUGACUUUAGCAUCUUCUAACUUCUUUUAAGGUUUGAAUAAUUACCUUGUUAGUCGACUCCACCUGUCCAUUAGCACUCGAGUGGUAUGGUAAAGAUGUAACUCGUUUGAUCUUCAAUCCUUCCAAAAACUUUGUCAGUUUGGAAACUAUGAAUUGUGGUCCAUUGUCACAAGUUAUUUCUAUUGGUUUUCCGAAUUGGUAAAUUAUGGUCCUAUAUAAAAUUGACCAUCUCUCAUUAUUCGAUCUUUUGGUAAGCACAUGCUUCAACUUAUUUAGUAAAAUAAUAAUUUAAAACCAAAAGAAAUUUUACCUUACCAGGUUCUAGUGGCAAGGGACCCACUAUGUCCAUCCCCCAUUUCAUAAAUGGCCACGGUGACACCACCGAAUGCAAAAGUUCUACAUAUCAAUGCACUAACUGUGCAUGACGCUGACAUUUAUCACACUUUUGUAGAAUUAUCUUUGCAUCUUGCUACAUCCGGGGUCAAUAGUAGCCAGCUCUGACUAACUUGAGAAUUAAUUAGUCUACACCAGAAUGGUUCCGGAAUACUCCUUCAUGAACUUCCAUCAUCACAUAGUCAGCCUCCGAGGCCCCUAGACACAAAUCUAGUGCCCCUUGGAACGAUCUCAUGUAUAACUGUCAAUCAAAAAGAUAGUAACGAGUCACCUUGGUCCGUAGUGCCAAGGAUUCUUUUGGGUCUUCUAGAAAUUUGCCAUGUCUUAGAUAUUCAAUGAACUCGUUCCUCCGGUCCCAUAUUAAGUUGGUUGAAUUAAUUUCACAGUAGCUGUCCACGCCCAACACCGAAUAUAGUAAUUGAACGAAUAUACCAGAAUCAGAUCCUUCCAUCUCUGUGGAUGAACCCAAAUUGGCCAAUGCGUCUGCCUUCAAAUUUUCCUCCCUUGGAAUGUGGACGAUUGACCACUCUGUGAAUCGUGUAAGUAAUGGUUGAACCUUGUUCAAGUUCUGUUGCAUGCGCUACUCCUUGGUGUCGAAAAUUCUAUACACUUGGUUUACCACCAACUGGAAUCGCAUUUUAUCUCGAUGACCUUGGAACCUAGUCCCCGAGCUAGUUCAAGUUCUGCAACCAAAGCCUCGUACUCGGCUUUAUUGUUAGUUAAUGGUAAAAUUCUAUUGGCCUUCCUUAGGGUUUCCCCCAAAUGAGUGAUUAAAAUUACACCAAAACCGGACCCUUUUACGUUGGAGGCUCCAUUUGUAAACAAGAUCAGACUCUCUAUACCAUUCCCGAUACCAACAAUGCUUCUUUAGCAGUAAAGGCAUUAAUUCCGAACUGAAAUCAGUCACGAAGUCGGCCUAAACUUGUUACUUAAUUGCAGUCUUGGGCUUGUAUUCAAUAUAGAAUUCACUAACUUCGACCACCUACUUAGCCAAAUGACCUGACAACUCAGGCUUAUGAAGGACAUUCCUUAACGAAAAGGUUGUCACAAUGGCUAUUAGAUGACAUUAAAAAUAUGGUCUAAGCUUCUAAGAGGCAACUACGAGAGCUAAGGCCAGCUUUUCAAGGUGCGGAUAACGUGUAUCCGCUCCUGAUAAUAUUUUACUAAUAUAAUAAAUGGGAAAUUGCAUACCAUCUUCUUCCCGGACCAAAACGGCACUUACCACUACUUUUGAGACCGCUAGAUAAAUCAAUAGUUGCUCACCUUCUCCUAAUUUCUACAACAACGGAGGGCUAGAUAGGUACCUUUUUAGGUCUUUAAGUGCAUAUUGGUAUUCCGGAGUCCAUACGAUGUCAUUCUUUUUUUUCAAAAGCAAAAAAAAAAUGAUGGAACUUUUACGAAGACCUCGAGAUGAACCUUCUUAGAGAUACCAAUCUACCGGUCAACAUCUUUAUUCCUUCACGCCUGUCAGCUGGUCUGGGAUAUUCUCGAUGGAUUUGAUUUUAUUGGGGUUUACCUUAAUUCCUCUUUGAGAGACCAAAAACCCCAGGAACUUAUCGGAACCCACUCCGAAGGCAUAUUUCUUCAGGUUGAGAUUCAUGUUGUACUUUUUCAGAAUGUCAAACGUCCCUUAGAGAUGUUCCAGUUGAUCUCCUGCAUAAAGAGACUUAACUAGCAUGUCGUCGAUAUAAGCUUCCAUCGUCUUACCUAUCUAUUUUUUAAAUAUCUUAUUAGCGAGCCUCUAAUAAGUGGCUCCCGUAUUUUUAAUCCCACAAGGCAUCACAUUAUAGCAAUAUGUGGUAAAGUUUGUGAUGAAAGAAUUCUUCUUUUAAUUUUCUGGGUCCAUCGUAAUUUGAUAAUACCCGAAAUAAGCAUCAAGAAAACUCAUCAACUCGUGCCUGGCUGCAGCAUUGAUCAUUUGAUCAAUGUUCGGCAAUAGGAAAAAGUCUUUGGGGCACACUUUAUUUAAAUUCUUAUCAUCUACACACAUCCUAAAUUUUCUAUUCUUUUUAGGCACUACUACGUUAGCUAUCCACUUCGAGUACUUUACCUCUCGAAUUGAACUGAUGUUAAGUAAUCGGGUUACCUCUUCCUUAACAAACCUGUUUUUGACCUUUGCUAUCAAUUGUUUCUUCUGCCUUACCGGGGGGAAGUUUGGAUCCAGACUAAGUUUGGAGACCUCCAAAUCCAAUGGAAAAUUUGUCAUAUCUGAAUGCAACCAUGAAAAGCAAUCAACGUUAGAUUUAAAAAAAUCUAUAAGUUUCAACCUGAGUUCGGGACUCAACCCCGUUCCUAAAUGAAAUUUUCUUUCCAGAAAUUCUUCAAACAAAGCCACUUGUUUGAGCUCUUCUGCGGUUAACUUGGUUGCAUCCAUCUUUUCUGGUACCUGAAAAGACCUUGGUGCCUGAUAUAAUUCUGAUGACUUCUCGUUUUUAUCAUCUACAAUUGGGAUGGGAGAAGGCAUUGGUUCCUGUAGUUGCUAUUUGCUGGUUUCUUUGCCCUUGCUGCUGGAAAUGGUUACUGUGUUCAUCUCCCUUACAGCAGAUUGAUCUCCUCUGAUCUGCUUGAUCCCUUCUAGUGUUGGAAACUUUAACAGUUAAUGGUAUGUGAAGGUACGACCUUCAUUUUGAUGUAUCCACGGUCUUCCAAAGAUUAUAUUAUAGACCAUGUCGCCAUUUACCACUUCAAACAGGGUGGUCUUUGCUACACCUUCAGCAUGUGUGGGCAGAAAAAUUUCUCCUCGGGUUGUUAUACUUGUUAUGUUGAAGCCAGCUAAAAGCUUUGUUGAUGGAAUGAUAUUCCCAGUUAACUUUGCUUCUCUCCAUUGUAUGAUAUUGGUUGAACUUCCUGGAUCAACCAAAAUACGCUUAAUACUAAAAUCUAAAAUAUUAAAAGAAAUUACCAAAGCAUCAUUUUGCGGUAGGAUAAGUCCAUCGGCAUCUUCCAUCGUGAAGGUGAUGUCAUCUUUUGAGACUUCUCGGAUCCUCUUGCCAUGAGUCACUGAUAUAUUCGUCUUAUUUGCUGGCAAAAAUGUCACCCCAUUUACUUUGUCUCCUCUGAAGAUCAUGUUGAUUGUCAUUCGAGGUGACCCUUCUGCUGGUUUUAAUGGUUAUGUAAUAUCCCUAUUUCUCUUAGAGUUGUUUUUGGUGCGAUCGCUUAACAAUUCCCCGAGGUGACCAUUCUUUAACAAUAUUUCCACCUCUUCAUGAAGAUGUCGGCAGUCCCCAGUCCUAUUAUCGUGAGUCCCAUAGAAUUCACACCAUAGAUUAGGAUCCCUUUGGCUAGGAUCCGAUCAGAUCGAUUUUGGGAACCUAAAUUCUUUAAUAUUUCUCAUGGGCGACACUAGUUCCACUAGGGUGAUACUAAAAUUGUAAUUAAACAACCGGGGAUACGCUGAAUCUUAGGAUCAUGGCACCUUUUUCUCCUACAACAAUCUGUUACUCCGGCCAUGAUCCAUCCUUCUAUCGCAAAUAAACCUAUUCGAUGACUGGAAUCCUUUAUUAUCGUGCCCUUCGGCCUUCUCAUAAGGCUGAAAAUGACUUCUAGAGUGUAUUCGAUCUAUAUCAAAAUCAUUUUUAAACUUAUCUUGAUUUCAAUCACGAUUCCGUCCUUUGGAAGACACCGUGGAACCAAGUCGACCAUCUUCACUUCUGAUCUUUGACUCAUAGAGAUAUUAAACAUCUGCCCAUAUGGUUGCCUGAAUUUCGAGCAAGCUCUCCUGCAAUUUUUGUGAGUUAUCGGAGCUUAAUAGGUUGAGACCCUUUGUAAAUGCCUCCGUUGCCCACUCAUCUUGAACCGCAGAUAACAACAUCAUUUCUUUCCGGAACCAGAUCACAAACUCUCUUAACAAUUUAGCUUUUCUUUAAGAUAUCAUGAAUAUAUCCACCUUCCUUGCUUGGACCUUUCUUGCUCCAGCAUUAUCUUUGAUAAACGAAUCUACAAGCAUUUCAAAAGGGUCAAUAGAAUGUUUUGAUAAGAGGGAAUACCAGGCUAAGUCACCAUUCGUAAGGGUUUCACCAAACUUCUUCAACAAAACCGAUUCGAUGUAAUGCUGGGCCAAGUUGUUUUCCUUUACUGUCGUAGUGUAGGUCAUAUCAUGAUGUGCUCCUGUGGAUCCGAAGUCACAUCAUAUUUUGGUAUAUCCAACAUCUUAAACCUCUUUGGGAUUAACUUCGAUGCAGCACAUAGUUUAAACAGCAACUACAUAUACUUCUUUAAAUCUGAUCCUUUUAACAUCGGCGGCACCCCCGUGAUAUGAUCCAUCAGAGCGAAAUUCCUUUGCAUUCUAAUCCAUUCAUUCAUUCAUUUCUCUCAUUAAUCUUAUGAGCUCGGUUUUGAAAGGGUUAUUUAAAUUGUUGUUCGCAAAUUCACUACCGGUACCUCUGGCCUCGUCGAAAUUGACCUCCUCUCUUGGUGUGUCGUUAUCAGUUCCUUGAGUCGUUUGCUUUACGAGAAUGCUGGGAGGAAUCGGGGCCCUUCCAUUAGCAUUAUUAGAAGCUCCCCAUACUACAUGUUUCAAUUUUGUCAUCACCCAAUCUUGCCUUGAGAGGCGAUCCAUAAUUGCCUUUUUCUAUUCCCUCAAGAUUUUGACUAUUUCAACAACGUGCUCAUCCUUUGCAUCAUCAAGAGUUGGGCCCCGCACAUGUCGAGGAUACAGACCUUCGCGAACUAGGUUGUUUCAUCCCCUUCGUUGUGGGGCUCACUGAUUGAAUCAUCACGCGUGAACACAUCUUCUUGUUGACCGUGUACUCCAACAUUUUAAACAAUAUUGACAUCAUUAGCUGUCAUACCUUAUCUUUCUUUUUCUAAGGAAGGAAUCAAAAUUUGUCAGUAAUAGAUAAAUAGAUCAAAGCAAUUACACAAUUGUCAAUGCCCCACAGUGGACGCCAAACUGUUUACCCAUAAAAUGAUAUAGUUAGAUUUGUAACGUAGUUUAUAGACAAAUAAAUCGAUUUGGUCCUAAAGUACGAAAACAAUAAUAACCGAAACAAGAAUACGAAAUAAAACUAAUGGAAACACAAGCCCGAGUAUGAAUUUAGCCUUUCCAAUGGCAAAAAGAGAACAUUAUUCAAGAACAAAGACUGAGAACAAUAUUAUAAAAUGGGAGCAGAAUAUAGCUUUUUUGUGUACAAAAUAUUUCCACCCCUACAAUGGAUGCUAAUCCUCCUACUUACAGCUCUGUUCUGGGAGACAAGAUCCUCAAAUCAAGUUCCUCUUGAAUGAGAAUAAAACCGUCAUUGAUGGCUGCAUAAUUGUUGGCUAUAAAUGCAUAUAUUCUUUGUAACAGUUGCUCGUUGAAUGUUAUCUAAUGAAAAUGCUUUGAAUCUUCAUUAUUAAUUGGCUACUCCGUCUUCGAGAUUCAUUCAGUAUCGAUUGCAUGAUUACAUCUGGUGCCAGCUGUUUGCUGACUCACGUCCCAUCUAUCUUUUGUUCCAUGCGUCACUUCGUCAUUCGCCCAACUAUCAUUAACCGAUUUUGCCCCAUACAGGUGUAGCUUUGAUUAUCGACACACAAGUUGAGGCUGACUCCAGUAUAUUGAGGCCAAAGGCACAGACAUAUAUAGGACUAGGACUAAACCGUGUAUUUCCGAGAAAAACUUAUAUACAUACGAUACCUAAUUCAAAACAUAGGAAAAUGGUAAUUUGUUUAGUCUUUUUCCCGUUCUUUUCCCUUUUUGAAUGAUUUUAGAAGUUUAAUUGUAUUCUAAAGACUAAACAUCAAUCCUCCCACGAUACUUGAGUUUUGAAGGUUACGUGGGUGGCAUACAUAAGUUCGUUGCUCAUUCUUCAAUUGUCAUUAUCUUUUUUUGUUGUUUCUAUCGUCACUUCCUUUUCUUUGUUGCAUUAUAGUGUUUGAUCUAAUUCUUAAUGUUAGCUAGAAAAAAUGGACAGCAAUGAGGUGUUAUAUAUAUNNNNNNNNNNNNNNNNNNNNNNNNUAUAUUAGUUAGUUAAAGCGGUUAAUGAAAAAAAAAGUUUGAUAUCACUAAACAACUCAAUAAAUGAAUAUGCAUGCGAGUCAUCUAUCAUAUCCGUAUAACAAUUAAGCAUUGGUUGAUUUUCGCCACUUGGAAUUAAAAAUUUACGUAACAAACUUCCUUCAUGCAAAGAGGUGUGAACAUUGGAUUAGAACUCGUACACACUGGACAAACAAAUUAGUCCCCACAUCAACUAACUCAAGUUCCAAACUCAUAGGCUAGCUAGUUAUAACCAACACUUAUAAAUACCACUCAAUAUUAACAAGAGAAAACAUCCCAACAGCACCCAAGUAUCUUGUACUACUACUUUUUCAAAACUCAUCUGCCAUCACUUUUAUUACCAAAAUGGCUGAAGAGAAGAAGCACCACUUCGGUCUCUUCCACCACAAGGACAAGGAGGAAGACAAAACUACCUAUGGAGAAACUCCAUAUGGUGGUGAUACUGAAAAAACUACCUAUGGAGAGAAUACAUAUGAAGAGAAAACUAGUUAUGGUGGGGGAGAUAACUAUGGGGAUAACAAAUAUGGUGAGAAAACUGGCUAUGGAGAAAGUGGAUAUGGAGAGAAAACUAGUUAUGGUGAGGGAGGUAACUAUGGAGAUAGUGGCUAUGAAAAUAAGACUAGCUAUGGAGAUAGUGGCUAUGAAAAUAAGACUAGUUAUGGAGAUAGCGGCUAUGAAAACAAGACUGGCUAUGGAGAUAUUCCAUCUGAUACUACCUAUGGAGAGAAAACUAAUUAUGGUGAAGGAGAUACCUAUGGAAAAGGAGCUGCCUACUCAUCUGAGACCACUAAUUUUGAAGAGACUACUGAUGAAGGCAAAACUGGUGAGGAUUAUGAGAAAGAGAAAAAGCACCACAAGCAUCUUGAACACGUGGGAGGGCUUGGGGCUGCUGCUGCUGGUGCCUUUGCCUUGGUAAUUUUUCACACAAUGUUUUAUGUUACAGUUUUAACUUUUAUAUCCUUGUGGUCCAGUCCUUCCCCGGACCCCGCGCAUAACGGAAACUCAGUGCAUCGGACUGCCUUUAUUGUCGUAUCAGUAAAGUUACAAAAUUAUGUUAAUUAAAGUCAUUGAACUUUACCUAUUGUAUCAGCUAAGUCACAAAAUUAUUUGUUGUCUCAUAAAAGUCAUUGACAAUUUGUUAGUUGUCUAGAAAAUACAAUUCACUAGAAAGUCAAAUUUUUUAAUAAAAAUUGAUAUUAGUAGCCAAGAGAAUAAGAGAAACUACUACUCUUUCCGUCUCACUUCAUGUGAAGGUGUUUGACUGGACAUGAAAUUUAAGAAAUAAAGAAAAAAAUUUGAAACUUGUGGUUUAAAAUAAUUUAUAGAAAUUUAUUUGGCUAAAAAUUAUCUCAUUAAGGGUAAAAGAAAAAAUUUAAAAUUAAGUUGUUACUAAAUAUAGAAAUGUGUCAUUUUUUUAUGAGUGAGUAAGAAGAAAAGAGUGUCACAUCAAAUUGAUUAAAAUAGACUCAUAGUCAAAUAUUAUGGGUCAAUUUGAAGAAAAUUUUGAUUUUUACUCUAGAUAUUGUAAAAAGAAUUUACACUAUCAAUCAUUCAUCUAGAAAGAUUAAUAGAGUUGUUAACUAUUCCUUUUUGUUUCUUCCAUAUUUUGGUAUGAAAAUUUCAGCAUGAGAAGCACAAGGCAGAGAAAGAUCCAGAACAUGCACACAAACACAAGAUAGAAGAAGAAAUAGCAGCAGCAGCUGCAGUUGGGGCAGGUGGAUUUGCAUUUCAUGAGCACCAUGAAAAGAAGGAAGCCAAGGAAGAAGAAGGGGAAGUUGAGGGAGAGAAGAAACAUCAUUUCUUCUAAUUUUCUCAUAAUAUAUAUUUACCUCUCUUUAAUUUGUUUUCUUCUAAAAUAUAAGUUAUGAGCUUCGUGUGCUUGCUCUAUCCUCUAAUACUGAGCACCUAAAUAAUCCGUGUGUGUGUGUGAGUCUUCCCUUUGAUGUAAGGGUUUUACUUCUAUAUCUUGGUGGGGUUUAAUUAUGUCAUGCACAUGUUGUUCACU
rnacentral:lncRNA from 1 species